rnacentral:lncRNA from 1 species
UUGAUCUAAUCAUAAUGAAUUUACUUGCCAUAUAAUAACAUGGCCAGAAGUACAAAGGAACAGAGAAAUCAUCAGAAAAGCACAAAUUUAUUAAUUUAAAUUUCUUUAUAUAAUAUAUGCCCGAGGAAGGAAGCCUUUUAGUUUAGGACACUGCAAAUUGUAGGAUAUGCUAUAUAUAGACCAAUUAAUUUAUUUAGAUACAGGCAAUAUGCAAAGGGUAAGUAAAAGUAAGGAUGGCAUGAGUUUCAGAAUCCACCGCCUCGCGCGCCAGCACCUUCGCUUCCUCUUCCGUUAUAAACUAGCAGGUAUAGCAAGGGUAUGUUGGUGGAUAUUCUUGAUCAGUUUGGCCCCCUCCAAAUUUGGCAGCUUCUAGCUCAGCCUUUGUUUUUUGGGUAGCCGCCUUACCUGCAAAACUCGCAGCAUUAUCAACAUUCAUGUUAGGAUACAUUUCAAUUCAUGAAAUAUAAAUGAGAGGAGAUGAUAACUAAUUAAUUAAUUAAAAAGCCAUGUUGGCUGCUGACCGUUGUUUGUUUCAGUAAGGUCUCUAGCUGCCACUUCCGAAGAAAUGGAAAGAACAAUCACAGAUAAAACAGCAAGGAUGAGAAAACUCUUGCAAACCGAACCCAUUUUUGAUUUUUGUUUUUUAAAUCAAAGUGAACAAUCCUGGAUAAAAGUGUUUGGAGAGUUAAGAAUGCUUAAACAAAGGCAAUCUACGUCUCUAUUUAUACGCCCCAAUCAUCAACUUAUAUGCAUAGAUAAGAAAAUGUGUGAGCGUAAUUAAACAUAAAGAUUUGCCUGUCGACCACGCAAUGCAGCUGGCAGUUGAAGAGUCGCCAAACUAUUCAACUUGGACUUUGGAAAGUGAUUGGACCAAAAAGUGGAAGUAGCAAAGUUUAUGCCUCUCACUAACGUAACUCUACAUGAAUAUUAUUAAAUCACGAUUUGUGAUGGAUGUGGAAAUGCUCUCAUCUGAAAUUGCUAGUCACAAAACCGGUGAACCUCUAACAUCCGGGAUAGGCUACCAAGAAAAUGAGAUUGAGGGAGGAUGAUCCGCCAAAAACCGUGGUGGUUUAUGAUGGACCUCGUAUGUCCUUUCAACAUAAACUAGUGAAUGGAGAGAUAUAUGUUCUCGCAGGUUUCGAGCAUGGUAUCUGACUGUUGGAGGACGAUAUCAAAAAAAGAUACUAUGAAGGGUGUCCCAUUGAUACGAUUCUCGGAUCGCCUCCACUUCUUGAUAGAAAAAAAAGUGUGAUCAAGACGGUGAUUUUUUUUAAAAAAAAUUGUCACAAAAUAGGUUUUAAUGCUCUUUAAAAUAAUACUUUCGUCUGAUGGAAGCCAUCCUUUAACUUUCAAUUAAUGAAUUUGGAGAACAACUACAUGGCAAAAUUUGCUCCGAUUGAGGAUUAUAAAGUGCUUGCAGGCGGGCUGUGAGUAAUAUUUGAGUAUUGUAUGACGGUUCAGACAUCAUAGUUUCCCGUAUCUAAAGACCGGUGGAAUGGAGAGAUCUACAAGACUUAGGUAACUCAAUAUUAAAUCAUGAUUUGUGUAUUUGUAUACUACUUAUAUAUUUUAUCAUAGGUUAAAUACGCUUUUUAAGUCCUUAUGCUUUUAUUUUGUGGAAUAUAAUUCCUCAUUUUUUUAUUUUAAAAAAUUUAGUCUAUUUAUUUUUUAAAUUUAAAAAUGUAAAUUCAGCCGUUAAUAAUGUUAAGAAUUUUUUAUUAAAUUUAAGUUUUUUAUAAAGUUAUUUUUUAUUGUAUGACUAUUAAUUUUAUUCUAUUUUAAAAUAUUACACGAACAAAUUUAAUAAAAACAAUUUAAUAAAAUUAACAAUUUAAUCCGAAAUUUUUUAAAAAAUAGAAACUAAAAGUAUUUUGAAAACUUGGUGGAUGGAAUGGAAAAAGGAGAAACAGAAAGAAUAUAAUUUUAAGAGCUCCUUGGUACAAUAAAAAAUGGAAUGAAAGAAAAUGAAAGGGAUGAGACUUCUUUCGCACCAUUUGUCCAAAUUGAGGGAAAGAAAAGUUUUAAAUUAUGUGAUUUUAAGUAUAACAUAUAAAAUUGCUCUCGAUUAAAGUAAAAUACCUAAUUUAAUGGGAGGGAUUCACUAAUAUUUAGGGUAAAAUUUAGGUAGUUUUACAUUAUAUAUUUAUAUUUUUUUUUAUGAUUAGUAUUUUAGUAAUUUAAUUAUUGAACUUAUCAAUACAAUAAUAUUUGUCAUACAUGUAAAAUUUUUAAUUAAUCUGAUAUCUCUAUCAUAUCGAUCUAAAAUAUUAUCUAUAUCUAUAUAUUUAAUGGUAGAAAGUUUUUGACAUAAAAUAAAUAACUAGAAAAUUUUAAAUUUGCCAAACUUGUCAUGCAUGAUUUACAUGAAUUGAACAUGAAAUACAACGGUUGAAUUAUUAAAGUAGUGAUCAUAUAAAAAUUACAAAAAUAUAUAAAACCACUUAAAUUUUACACCUAUUUAAAUUGCUAAUUACAAAACUUGGUAUUUCACUUGGAUGUGAUGGCUCUUGAAAAUUUACUAAUUUUUAUAUUUAGUGAAAUACAACCAACAUUUGAAAUUUGUAUCAUAUUUAAAAUUUUGAAAUUGAAAAUUAUAAUAAAUUAAUAAUACUAAUCUGCAUUCUCAUGCCAUUCAUAGAUUUAAUUGUUUAUAUAACUACUUUUUUUUUUUGGUUUAGUCAAUUGAUUACAAGAUAAGGCAUUGGGAUCAACCAACCCAACCAGUUCAACAAGUAAAACAACAAUAGCGAAACAAUGCCAAAACAUGAAAGAGUACAACAAUAAUCCCCCAACAAUGAAACCAAAAUGCUCCACACAAAAUUAACAACGAGAAACCAACAAAAAAUGAAUCCACCAUUGCACCAAUUGCUUGACAUGUGAUUUCGAUUAGUACCUUAGCCACAACCAAAAAUUACCUCCCAAAAACAAGAACAAGCUCCCAAAAUGACCACAAUUGAAUGCGACAAACAAGCAACCAAUCNNNNNNNNNNNNNNNNNNNNNNNNNNNNNNNNNNNNNNNNNNNNNNNNNNNNNNNNNNNNNNNNNNNNNNNNNNNNNNNNNNNNNNNNNNNNNNNNNNNNNNNNNNNNNNNNNNNNNNNNNNNNNNNNNNNNNNNNNNNNNNNNNNNNNNNNNNNNNNNNNNNNNNNNNNNNNNNNNNNNNNNNNNNNNNNNNNNNNNNNNNNNNNNNNNNNNNNNNNNNNNNNNNNNNNNNNNNNNNNNNNNNNNNNNNNNNNNNNNNNNNNNNNNNNNNNNNNNNNNNNNNNNNNNNNNNNNNNNNNNNNNNNNNNNNNNNNNNNNNNNNNNNNNNNNNNNNNNNNNNNNNNNNNNNNNNNNNNNNNNNNNNNNNNNNNNNNNNNNNNNNNNNNNNNNNNNNNNNNNNNNNNNNNNNNNNNNNNNNNNNNNNNNNNNNNNNNNNNNNNNNNNNNNNNNNNNNNNNNNNNNNNNNNNNNNNNNNNNNNNNNNNNNNNNNNNNNNNNNNNCAGACUCCGGCCCUCGCAAACCAGGCUCCGCCCACGCGCCACGCGCCGCCCUAAGGGCCACCGUAUUCAGAGAUCGAAGAGUUCGAAAAACUCUCGUCUCUUCAGAUCCAAAAACAGGUAGUUCUUUUCCUUCAAAAUACCCUUACUAUUUGCUAACAGUUCAUAUAUGUGCUAAAAAAUAAAGAAUAAGUCACUCGGUUAUCACCUUGAAACUGUUUGUUCUUUUUUUUAUUUCUAUAUUCCUGUUUGUAUAGAGGGUUACAAAGGGCUUUUUAUAGCCAUGUUUAUUACAAAAACUGGGAAAGAAAUCGAAAAUUUCUUUCUAUUUCUUGCUCACUGUGUCUUUGACCGUGAUCUGUUGAGAUUUUUAGUUUCCUUUUCUUGCUCUAUGUAUCUGCUGUGUUUCCUUUUCUUGCAGGUAUCCCGAUGAUCUCGGCGUUAACGACGGUACCAAGGCUAGAGGGGAAGCCUGAGAUCACGGUGCUGGACGGACGCCUUGAUGGCGCGUCAGUGUGCAUUGAUGGCCUCGAUCUGGGGAGUUGCACCGACGCUCCCCGAAGCUUCCAGAAGCUGUUGCGGCGCGAGGGGAAAGAGCUAGGGUUGAAAACCCUAGCUGAUAAUUUUGGGUUUUUUGGGCCUCUGUUAUUUGGGUCUUAGUUUAGGUUUGGGCUUCGAGUGUAUUUGGGCUAAGGUUGUAAUUGUAAUGGGUAUGGGUUAACGAGUCAAUGUAAAUGGACUUUUAUAUGGACAAUUAUUUAUUUAUUUAAUGGGUUUUACAGCCCGGUCAAAUUUGGGCUACUACAACCGGUUGAGACAACUAAUUGGAACAACCAACAAACAUAUGAUUUUUUUUUCAAAAUGUUUAAAGUUUUUAUAGUUUUGCAAAUGAAAUUUCUUAAUUGGAAUUCAACUAUAAAUAAGAAGACAUAAAAUUUAUAAAAUUGUUUAGUAUUAAAUGUUUUUUUGCACAACUCACGCACCGCUAAUAAAAGAAAAUCACCGCCACAUAUGCAUGCAUCCGUGAUAGGCAAUCACUGUGAUUCCAACCCACAAUGUGGAUAUAGGGUGAUUGCCCUUGGCUAAUAAACUAAAUAUUAGGGUUCGGUUAAUUAGUAAAUGCUAAUUCUAUUAAAAUUUAAAUUCUUUAAUUUUUAAUAUUAUAUAAAUUAAAUUUAUUUAUUUAAUAUUUAGACUAAUUUGAUCUAAUCAUAAUGAAUUUACUUGCCAUAUAAUAACAUGGCCAGAAGUACAAAGGAACAGAGAAAUCAUCAGAAAAGCACAAUUUAUUAAUUUAAAUUUCUUUAUAUAAUAUAUGCCCGAGGAAGGAAGCCUUUUAGUUUAGGACACUGCAAAUUGUAGGAUAUGCUAUAUAUAGACCAAUUAAUUUAUUUAGAUACAGGCAAUAUGCAAAGGGUAAGUAAAAGUAAGGAUGGCAUGAGUUUCAGAAUCCACCGCCUCGCGCGCCAGCACCUUCGCUUCCUCUUCCGUUAUAAACUAGCAGGUAUAGCAAGGGUAUGUUGGUGGAUAUUCUUGAUCAGUUUGGCCCCCUCCAAAUUUGGCAGCUUCUAGCUCAGCCUUUGUUUUUUGGGUAGCCGCCUUACCUGCAAAACUCGCAGCAUUAUCAACAUUCAUGUUAGGAUACAUUUCAAUUCAUGAAAUAUAAAUGAGAGGAGAUGAUAACUAAUUAAUUAAUUAAAAAGCCAUGUUGGCUGCUGACCGUUGUUUGUUUCAGUAAGGUCUCUAGCUGCCACUUCCGAAGAAAUGGAAAGAACAAUCACAGAUAAAACAGCAAGGAUGAGAAAACUCUUGCAAACCGAACCCAUUUUUGAUUUUUGUUUUUUAAAUCAAAGUGAACAAUCCUGGAUAAAAGUGUUUGGAGAGUUAAGAAUGCUUAAACAAAGGCAAUCUACGUCUCUAUUUAUACGCCCCAAUCAUCAACUUAUAUGCAUAGAUAAGAAAAUGUGUGAGCGUAAUUAAACAUAAAGAUUUGCCUGUCGACCACGCAAUGCAGCUGGCAGUUGAAGAGUCGCCAAACUAUUCAACUUGGACUUUGGAAAGUGAUUGGACCAAAAAGUGGAAGUAGCAAAGUUUAUGCCUCUCACUAACGUAACUCUACAUGAAUAUUAUUAAAUCACGAUUUGUGAUGGAUGUGGAAAUGCUCUCAUCUGAAAUUGCUAGUCACAAAACCGGUGAACCUCUAACAUCCGGGAUAGGCUACCAAGAAAAUGAGAUUGAGGGAGGAUGAUCCGCCAAAAACCGUGGUGGUUUAUGAUGGACCUCGUAUGUCCUUUCAACAUAAACUAGUGAAUGGAGAGAUAUAUGUUCUCGCAGGUUUCGAGCAUGGUAUCUGACUGUUGGAGGACGAUAUCAAAAAAAAGAUACUAUGAAGGGUGUCCCAUUGAUACGAUUCUCGGAUCGCCUCCACUUCUUGAUAGAAAAAAAAGUGUGAUCAAGACGGUGAUUUUUUUUAAAAAAAAUUGUCACAAAAUAGGUUUUAAUGCUCUUUAAAAUAAUACUUUCGUCUGAUGGAAGCCAUCCUUUAACUUUCAAUUAAUGAAUUUGGAGAACAACUACAUGGCAAAAUUUGCUCCGAUUGAGGAUUAUAAAGUGCUUGCAGGCGGGCUGUGAGUAAUAUUUGAGUAUUGUAUGACGGUUCAGACAUCAUAGUUUCCCGUAUCUAAAGACCGGUGGAAUGGAGAGAUCUACAAGACUUAGGUAACUCAAUAUUAAAUCAUGAUUUGUGUAUUUGUAUACUACUUAUAUAUUUUAUCAUAGGUUAAAUACGCUUUUUAAGUCCUUAUGCUUUUAUUUUGUGGAAUAUAAUUCCUCAUUUUUUUAUUUUAAAAAAUUUAGUCUAUUUAUUUUUUAAAUUUAAAAAUGUAAAUUCAGCCGUUAAUAAUGUUAAGAAUUUUUUAUUAAAUUUAAGUUUUUUAUAAAGUUAUUUUUUAUUGUAUGACUAUUAAUUUUAUUCUAUUUUAAAAUAUUACACGAACAAAUUUAAUAAAAACAAUUUAAUAAAAUUAACAAUUUAAUCCGAAAUUUUUUAAAAAAUAGAAACUAAAAGUAUUUUGAAAACUUGGUGGAUGGAAUGGAAAAAGGAGAAACAGAAAGAAUAUAAUUUUAAGAGCUCCUUGGUACAAUAAAAAAUGGAAUGAAAGAAAAUGAAAGGGAUGAGACUUCUUUCGCACCAUUUGUCCAAAUUGAGGGAAAGAAAAGUUUAAAUUAUGUGAUUUUAAGUAUAAACAUAUAAAAUUGCUCUCGAUUAAAGUAAAAUACCUAAUUUAAUGGGAGGGAUUCACUAAUAUUUAGGGUAAAAUUUAGGUAGUUUUACAUUAUAUAUUUAUAUUUUUUUUAUGAUUAGUAUUUUAGUAAUUUAAUUAUUGAACUUAUCAAUACAAUAAUAUUUGUCAUACAUGUAAAAUUUUUAAUUAAUCUGAUAUCUCUAUCAUAUCGAUCUAAAAUAUUAUCUAUAUCUAUAUAUUUAAUGGUAGAAAGUUUUUGACAUAAAAUAAAUAACUAGAAAAUUUUAAAUUUUGCCAAACUUGUCAUGCAUGAUUUACAUGAAUUGAACAUGAAAUACAACGGUUGAAUUAUUAAAGUAUUGAUCAUAUAAAAAAUUACAAAAAUAUAUAAAACCACUUAAAUUUUACACCUAUUUAAAUUGCUAAUUACAAAACUUGGUAUUUCACUUGGAUGUGAUGGCUCUUGAAAAUUUACUAAUUUUUAUAUUUAGUGAAAUACAACCAACAUUUGAAAUUUGUAUCAUAUUUAAAAUUUUGAAAUUGAAAAUUAUAAUAAAUUAAUAAUACUAAUCUGCAUUCUCAUGCCAUUCAUAGAUUUAAUUGUUUAUAUAACUACUUUUUUUUUUUGGUUUAGUCAAUUGAUUACAAGAUAAGGCAUUGGGAUCAACCAACCCAACCAGUUCAACAAGUAAAACAACAAUAGCGAAACAAUGCCAAAACAUGAAAGAGUACAACAAUAAUCCCCCAACAAUGAAACCAAAAUGCUCCACACAAAAUUAACAACGAGAAACCAACAAAAAAUGAAUCCACCAUUGCACCAAUUGCUUGACAUGUGAUUUCGAUUAGUACCUUAGCCACAACCAAAAAUUACCUCCCAAAAACAAGAACAACUCCCAAAAUGACCACAAUUGAAUGCGACAAACAAGCAACCAAUCUGACACAUUGAUUGAAUUGCAACCCAUUGUUAUUAAAACCUACUCCUUCCAAAUCAACACCUAACCCAUCACUGCAACCUCAUUACUUACCACAAUGAUCGCCCAAUCUUUGACCUCACCUGCACAAUAACCAGAUAAUAAAACCAGAAAACAACCCCAGCAGAAUAAAAAAGAACCCAACCCAGCCCAACCCAGACAAACCCAACCCCUCCUCCAUCCACGUAACAAUUCACCAUUCUUACAAUUCUAAUUACUCCAACUCAUACCUCGAAAGCAAAACCAACACACAAUGAACAUAAAAAUAACCGUGAGCAGUAAGCAAACCAAAAAAAUAUACAGAAAUCCUACUCCAAUUUAGACAACUGUUAACAUUAAUGGGAGACAACAUUAAUGGCAAACAAUACAAAGUGGUGCAAGUUUAGCACCCUAAAGUUGACUUUGAAAAAGUGGCAUGGGAUAAUUUUUUUUUGGUCCUUGAGAUAAUGGGCUAUUUAUUGUUUGGUCCUUAAACCUCAACUAUAAAUAGGCCUUCUCAUUUCUCAUUUCAAUUCAUCCCAACCAAUCUUUCUCUCUUAGUUUUCUCUCUUCUCCCAUUUGAGAAUUCUUAAGGAAUUCUAUUUGUUUGUAAUACUUUGGAGAUAGUAAAGUUAUCAUCUGGUGUUAGUGCCCGAGGACGUAGGUAUAAUUUACCGAACCUCGUUAAAUCUCUUGUGUUCUUUCUUGUCCUAUUUUUGUUUCAAUAUUUGAGGGUAUAAUAGUAGUAUUUAAUUGUGCUAUUAAAUUAUUAUAGAAGGGAUAUUCUGUCUAAGGAAAGACUUGGUAUUUAAGAGAUCUAUGUGAUCCACCUCUCUUCCCUGGGAAUUGAACUUUGUGUGAUUUUUUAGUACAAUAAUUUACACGCUUCUGACUCUAUUGAACAACAAGUGGUAUCAAGAGCCGAAGGUUAAUCGUAGUAUGCUCUGUGGUUGCAGUUUAAACUGAUCUUCCACAUCAGAAAAGAUUUCCUUAGGUAUAUUGAAAGAUUAUGGAGAAAACGGUCGGUGUAGGAGCUUCAACAUCGUCUAUAUGGAUAAGACCGACAAUUGCAAAUGCAAGAUUGGCCGUGGAGAUCUUUGAUGGCACGGGCCAUUUUGGUAUGUGGCAAAGUGAGGUUCUAGAUGCCCUUUUUCAGCAGGGUCUAGACAUUGCCAUUGAUGAAGAGAAACCAGAUGAUGUACAGGAGAAAGAUUAGAAGGCGAUCAAUCGGUUGGCAUGUGGCACAAUUCGAUCAUGCCUUUCUCGAGAGCAGAGGUAUGCUUUUUCAAAGGAGACUUCUGCAAAUAAGUUGUAGGUGGCACUUGAAGAAAAUUUUUUGAAGAAAAACAGUCAAAAUAAGCUCCACUUGAAGAAAAGACUGUUUCGCUUCACUUACGUCCCAAGUACCACAGUGAAUGAUCACAUCACCAAAUUUAAUUAGUUAGUCACUGAUUUGCUGAAUAUGGAUGAGACAUUCAAAGAUGAAGAUUUGGCUUUGAUGCUGUUGGGGUCACUUCCUGAGGAGUUUGAGUUCCUAGAAACUACUCUACUUCAUGGCAGGAGUGAUAUAUCUCUGAGCGAAGUCUGUGCGGCCUUAUACAGUUAUGAACAGAGAAAGAAGGACAAACAGAAAAACUCAAUCAGAGAUACAGAAGCUUUAGUAGUCCGAGGUCGUUCAUACACUCGGAAGAAAACUCAAAAGGGGAGAUCAAAGUCAAAGUCCAGACUCGGGAAAGAUGAAUGUGCUUUUUGUCAUGAGAAAGGCCACUGGAAGAAAAAUUGUCCAAAGCUGAAGAAUAAGGGAAAAGCUGCUGUAGAUGCUUGUGUUGCUAAGCAUGAUACUAGUGACUCUGAACUAUCACUGGUUGCAUCAUCAUCGUCGUUCCAUUCAGAUGAGUGGAUAUUGGAUUCGGGUUGUACCUAUCAUAUGCCCCUAACCGGGAGUGGUUCUCUGAUUUAGUAGAACUAAAUGGAGGAGUUGUUUAUAUGGGCAAUGACAAUGCCUGUAAAACUGUUGGGAUAGGUUCAAUCCAAUUAAAGAAUCAAGAUGGAUCAACCAGAGUUCUGACUGAUGUUCGGUACGUGCCCAGUUUGAAGAAAAAUCUCAUCUCAUUGGGAGCCUUGGAAUCCAAUGGUUCAGUUGUUACUAUGAGAGAUGGGAUUUUGAAAGUGACAUCUGGCGCACUUGUGAUAUUGAAGGGCAUCAGGAAAAAUAACUUGUAUUACUACCAAGGUAGUACAGUUAUUGGAGCAGUCGCUGCAGCUUCCGGCAACAAAGAAUUGGACUCAAUCCAGUUGUGGCAUAUGAAGUUGGGACAUGCCAGCGAAAAAUCCUUGCAAAUUCUGGCAAAGCAAGGAUUGUUGAAAGGUGCAAAGGCUUGCAAAUUAAAAUUUUGCGAGCAUUGUGUUCUGGGAAAGCAAAAGAGAGUGAAAUUCGGUACUGCUAUCCAUAAUACAAAAGGUAUUUUGGAAUAUGUUCACUCAGAUGUGUGGGGGCCUUCCAAGACACCUUCAUUGGGAGGAAAACACUACUUUGUUACUUUUGUUUGAUGACUUUUCCAGAAGAGUUUGGGUGUAUACCAUGAGAACUAAGGAUGAAGUGCUUAGAGUUUUUCUUAAAUGGAAAACUAUGAUCGGAAACCAGACUGGCAAGAAAAUCAAGCGGCUUAGGACGGACAAUGGAGGGGAAUAUAAAAGUGAUCCGUUCUUCGAUCUGUGCCAAGAGUAUGGUAUUGUUCGACACUUCACAGUUAGGGAUACACCACAGCAGAAUGGAUUGGUAGAGCGUAUGAAUCGAACAUUGCUGGAGAAAGUUCGAUGUAUGUUGUCCAAUGCUGGGUUGGGCAAGCAAUUUUGGGCUGAGGCUGUGACAUACACUGGCCAUCUUGUUAAUCAUUUGCCAUCAUCUGCAUUAGAAAGAAAAACUCCUAUGGAGGUAUGGUCUGGAAAAUCGGGUACAGAUUAUGAUUCCUUACAUGUGUUUGGAUCCACUGCAUAUUACCAUGUGAAGGAGUCAAAGUUAGAUCCGAGGGCAAAGAAAGUUCUCUUUAUGGGAAUCACUUCUGGAGUGAAGGGAUUUUGUCUUUGGUGCUUAAGCACAAAGAAAAUGAUCUGUAGCAGAGAUGUUACCUUUGAUGAAUCUGCCACAUUGAAAAAGGUAGCAGAUAAAGAUAUUCAGACGAGCAAUACUCCACAGCAGGUGGAGUGUACUCCAAAACAGGUGGAGUUUGAGCAGAUGGGGAUUUGCCCAGUUAAUAAGUCUAAUUCUCCAGCCACAAUGGAGGAAUUAGAGGUUGAAGAGGUUCUGACCCAAGAACCACUAAGUACACCAGAACCAGUUGCAGUUGCAAGGCCACGGAGAGAAAUUUGUAAACCUGCUCGAUUUACUGAUAUGGUGGCCUACGCCCUUCCCGUUGUUGAUGAUAUUCCUAUCACUUAUCAAGAAGCAAUGCAAAGCUUAGAAAGUGAUAAAUGGAAAAGCGCAAUGGAUGAAGAAAUGCAGUCUCUCCGGAAGAACAAUACUUGGGAGUUGGUGCAAUUACCGAAAGGUAAAAGGGCAAUCGGAUGCAAGUGGGUAUUCGAAAAGAAAGAUGGAUCUCCUAGCAAGAAGGAUAUUCGCUACAAGGCAAGAUUGGUAGCUAAAGGCUACGCUCAGAAGGAGGAAAUUGACUACAAUGAUGUAUUUUCCCCUGUUGUGAAGCAUUCCUCCAUUAGAAUUUUGUUGGCCUUGGUAGCACAGUUGAAUUUGGAGCUAGCUCAACUUGAUGUUAAGACGGCUUUCUUGCAUGGUGAGUUAGAAGAGGAGAUCUAUAUGACUCAGUCCGAAGAAUACACAAAUGCUGGUGGUAGAAAUUGGGUUUGUAAGCUGAACAAAUCGCUAUAUGGAUUGAAGCAAUCCCCGAGGCAGUGGUACAAGCGAUUUGAUAGCUUUAUGAGAAGGCAGAAGUACACAAGAAGCAAAUAUGAAAAUUGUGUAUAUUUGCAGAAGCUGCAUGACGGAUCUUUCAUUUAUCUACUCUUGUAUGUUGAUGAUAUGUUAAUCGCUUCGAAGAGCCAAAAUGAGAUAGAUAAGCUGAAGGCUCAGUUGAAUCAAGAGUUCGAGAUGAAAGAUCUAGGUGAGGCCAAGAAGAUUCUCGGCAUGGAGAUAAGUAGAGAUAGACCGAGAGGCAAGCUCUGUUUAAAUCAGAAGCAAUAUCUGAAAAAGGUAUUACAAUGUUUUGGUGUAAAUGAAAACACAAAACAUGUAAGUACCCCACUUGCUUCUCAUUUGAAACUUAGUGCUCAAUUAUCUCCGAAGACUGAAGAUGAAAGAGAAUAUAUGGCGAAAGUCCCAUAUUCUAAUGCAGUUGGGAGUUUGAUGUAUGCGAUGGUGUGUACGAGGCCUGACAUUUCACAAGCUGUUGGAGUUGUGAGCAGGUAUAUGCAUGAUCCUGGAAAAGGACAUUGGCAAGCUGUGAAAUGGAUUCUACGGUAUCUUCGAAAAACCGUAGAUGUUGGUUUAAUUUUUGAACAGGAUGAAGCACUAUGUCAGUUUGUAGUUGGAUAUGUUGAUUCCGACUUUGCUGGUGAUUUAGAUAAACGUCGUUCAACUACGGGGUAUCUGUUUACUUUUGCAAAAGCCCCAGUGAGUUGGAAGUCUACCUUACAGUCUACAGUAGCUGUGUCUACUACAGAGGCAAAAUAUAUGGCAGUUACAGAAGCUGUUAAAGAGGCUAUUUGGCUUAAUGAAUUAUUGAAAGACUUGGGAGUUGUUCAAAGUCACAUUAGUCUAUAUUGUGACAGUCAGAGUGCUAUUCAUUUAGCGAAAAAUCAAGCCUAUCAUUCAAGAACCAAGCAUAUCGACGUAAGAUAUCACUUUGUGCGGGAAGUCUUUGAAAAAGGAAAAAUUCUACUUCAGAAGAUUCCGACAGCAGAUAAUCCCGCAGAUAUGAUGACCAAGGUGGUAACAACAAUCAAGUUUAAUCAUUGUUUGAACUUGAUUAACAUCCUGAGAAUUUGAGCACCUUCAGGUGUAUGACGCUCGAGAGCGCAUUUGUAGGCACUACAAAAGAUAGCUUUAUCGAAUUUGGGGAGUUGAAGGAAGUGUGUGAAGAUGUGAUUAUCCUAAUCAAAUCUUCAAGGUGGAGAUUGUUAACAUUAAUGGGAGACAACAUUAAUGGCAAACAAUACAAAGUGGUGCAAGUUUAGCACCCUAAAGUUGACUUUGAAAAAGUGGCAUGGGAUAAUUUUUUUUUGGUCCUUGAGAUAAUGGGCUAUUUAUUGUUUGGUCCUUAAACCUCAACUAUAAAUAGGCCUUCUCAUUUCUCAUUUCAAUUCAUCCCAACCAAUCUUUCUCUCUUAGUUUUCUCUCUUCUCCCAUUUGAGAAUUCUUAAGGAAUUCUAUUUGUUUGUAAUACUUUGGAGAUAGUAAAGUUAUCAUCUGGUGUUAGUGCCCGAGGACGUAGGUAUAAUUUACCGAACCUCGUUAAAUCUCUUGUGUUCUUUCUUGUCCUAUUUUUCUUUCAAUAUUUGAGGGUAUAAUAGUAGUAUUUAAUUGUGCUAUUAAAUUACUAUAGAAGGGAUAUUCUGUCUAAGGAAAGACUUGGUAUUUAAGAGAUCCAUGUGAUCCACCUCUCUUCCCUGGGAAUUGAACUUUGUGUGAUUUUUUAGUACAAUAAUUUACACGCUUCCGACUCUAUUGGAACAACAACAACAACAUCCAAAAAAAUUCCAACAAACAAAACACCAACAUCACAAUCAACUAUCAAAUAAACCUCCCACAAAUAUCACAUAAAUCCAUUUUUCUUAUAGCUAUUUAUGCACAUCCUUUACCGAUUGUAGCCAACCAAAAAAUCCUGCAGCAACCAAACAUCAAAUACAACAAUAAUCACACCCUAAGAUUUCCAAGAUGUCAUAGACAAUUCAAUCCCGUACACCCAUCACAAAAAUUCUAUACCAUUCCAUAAACUGCAUAAACGUCCAUAGCAUCUUCCAAUAAUUCCCUUCACACCAUCAAAAUUUCAUAAAAGUUAACAUUCUUUAAACACCUACUUACUCCAAAAAGACCCAAACAACUCCUGAAACACCUUCCCUUAUUAACACCAAAAACUGCACAAGAACUUCAAUCACCCAUUUAUUAACCACUGAGACCUGAUUUCUUCUCACAAACUAAUUUCGAAACAUAGUUACUGAAUCGCUGCUCUCAUUAUUUCAUCAAUUACCUCUUCUUCAUUUCCAUGAACAAUAAAUCCCAAUUUCUUUUCGAGUGCCCAAGUGUUAUUAGCUUCCCUAAGAAUCACCCUCAUUCUAUUACUUAUAUCCGAAUCCGAUAGGGAAAGAUUAACAAUCCUCUAAUCCUCCUUUUGAGACUCCCUUUCUCUUUCCUUCAACUUGACUCUAUUACUUUUCUUCCUAUCUUUAGACGUUAAAAAAAUGCUUUGGAUUUCAUACAUAGAUCGAACCUUCUUAUUCAGACUUUUCUUUUUUUUCCUGCGACUAAUAAUCUGAUUCAAUUCUUCUUCUAAAUCCAAAUUUUCUUCCAACAUUCCAUCUCUAUUUUUUUCAUUUUCCUGAUUUCUAUUGUUACCUUCCUCUGGACCAAUUAAAUCAUCGGGGAUAAAAGUUCCAGCAUUCCUACCAUCCACGUGUGAUCCAUUUUUAAUGCCCCCAUCAUUUGAAACUCCUACAACACGCUCUAUAACAACCAAUCCCAUGUCCCUUAUGUCCUUCAAUGCCCUUUUGUUGAAGUUGGUCAGCAUGAAGCCAACACUCGAUUCCAUACAGGCCAUGAAGACCAAGCAAAGCUGGAACAGAUGCAAGGGCUGCUGAUGCAAGCUCAUUUUGUUCAUUUUGUUAUAUUUAGUUGAUGAAAUGAGUGUUAGUUCAUUUCUAACUAAGUUAGCUUUCUGAUUGAUGUAAUUAGCUUAUGUAUGAGCUGUAAACACAGUUUUGUAUAAGUUUACAAGCUAAGAUUUCAAGUUUCUAUGUAAUUAGUGGAGGUAGGUAAUUACUUGUUGAUUUUGACAAGCCUUAUGCUUGAGUUAUGUACUGGCUUCAAGCCAUUGUUUUAUGUAUGAAUGAAAUCAGUUUUGUUCAUCAAUAUUCUCUCAAAUUUCCCCAGCUUAUUCUCUUCUUUCUUUAACUCGAAAUUGUUUGUUUGCUCAGCAAGUUUCGAGGCUUGCUCGACAAGAUACUUGCUGAGUCUGCUUGAUUCUGUUGUUGCACCAACAAUUGGUAUCUAGAGCCUAUUUCUUAAGGGAUCUGUUACUCAAUUCCAUGGCUUCAUCAAGCUUUUCACCAGCUGCACCUCAAGUCUUCAAUGGAGAAGGCUAUCACAUAUGGGUGGUCAAAAUGAAGACCUACCUGCAGGCUUUCGAUCUGUGGGAGGUGGUCAACUUUGAUGUUGAACCAGAGCCACUUAGAGCUAAUCCAACAGUGGCUCAGAUCAGGCAGCAUGCUGAUGAAAGGACCAAGAGGCACAAAGCUAUGUCUUGCAUCCAAAACUCAGUGUCUGAUGUGAUUUUCACAAGGAUUAUGGCCUGUGAAUCACCAAAACAGGCCUGGGACAAGUUGCAGGAAGAGUUUCAAGGGACAGAGAGGACAAGGCAGCAACAGUUGUUAAACUUGAGGAGAGAUUUCGAGAAUUUGAAGAUGAAGGAAGAAGAAACUGUCAAGCAAUAUUCUGACAGGAUUAUGGCUGUGGUUAACAGCAUCAGGCUCCUUGGAGAGCAGUUCAAUGAAGCUAGGAUAGUGGAGAAGGUUAUAGCAACUCUGCCUGAGAGGUAUGAGGCAAAAAUCUCAUCUCUCGAGGACUCAAGGGAUCUGUCCACCAUCUCCCUGACAGAGUUGAUCAAUGCUCUAUAUGCUCAAGAGCAGAGGAGAGCAAGCAGACUGGAGGAGCACCAAGAAGGUGCCUUUCAGGCAAGAACAAAUACUGCCUACAAAGGCAAGAAGGCCUGGAGAGACAAGCCAAAGAAUGAUGCUGCAAGGAGAGAAGGUCAGACUUGCAAGCACUGUAGAAAGGCUGGUCAUUCAGAAGAAAAAUGCUGGUUCAAUCCAGAUGCUGUGUGUCAGCAUUGUAAGAAGAAGGGUCAUGUUGAGAGAGUCUGUAAGAGUAAGACCAAAUCGAGGCAAAAUCAGUUUCAACAGAUGAAAGCUGAGGCUCGAGUAGCUAAGGAGGACAGUGACCAAGAGGAGCAAGUCUUUGCUGUGUCAUGCUCAGCUGCUCAGGAAAGGCUCUCAUCUGGUUGGCUCCUAGACAGUGGAUGCACCAACCACAUGACACCUGAUGCUGCAAUCUUUAAGUCUUUAGACAGAAGCUGCAGAACUAAAGUCAAGAUAGGAAAUGGUCAUUUUAUUCAAGCUGAAGGCAAGGGUGAUGUGCUGAUAUGCACCAUUACAGGUACCAAAGUGAUUUCAAAUGUGCUGUUGGUGCCUGAAAUUGACAGAAACCUCCUCAGCAUAGCUCAGUUGCUUGAAAAAGGUUAUUCAGUUGUGUUUAAAGACCACCAGUGCCAAAUCAGUGAUCUAAGUGGAUCCAAACUGAUGGCAGUCCCUAUGGCUGAUAAGAGCUUUGUGGUUGACUGGACAAAAAAGUCAGACAUUGCCUACACAGCCACUUCAGAUGAAUCCAAGCUGUGGCAUCAAAGACUGGGACAUGCCAACUUCAGAUCGAUGGCUCGAAUGGUCAGAGAGGACCUGGCUGAAAAUUUCAUCAACUCAGUGGACCAUGAUGAUGUAUGUGAUGUAUGUCAGCUAGGAAAGCAGGCCAGACUCCCUUUUCCCUCGAAUCAAGCCUGGAGAGCCUCUGAAAAACUCUAACUGGUGCAUACUGAUGUGUGUGGCCCUAUGAAGACUGAGUCAUUAAGUGGAAACAGGUAUUUCAUACUGUUCAUUGAUGAUUUCUCGAGAUAUUGCUGGAUUUACUUUUUAAAACAGAAAUCAGAAGUGGCCUCAGUGUUUUGGAAGUUCAAGACUGCUUCUGAGACUGAAACAGGCUGCAAGCUGAAGACCAUAAGGUCUGAUAAUGGGACUGAGUACACCUCAGCUCAGUUCCAAGCCUUCUGUGAUAAGGCAGGCAUCAAACAUCAACUUACCAACACAUAUACACCUCAGCAGAAUGGGGUAAGUGAAAGGAAGAAUAGGAGUUUGAUGGAUAUGGCCAGGUGCUUGAUGAUUCAGAAAAAUCUGCCUAAAGCACUAUGGGCAGAAGUAGUUAACACUGCAACAUACAUUCAAAAUAGACUUCCAACCAAGGCUUUGGAUCAAAAGACCCCAUUCGAGGCCUGGUUUAGCUUCAAGCCAUCAUUGGCUCAUCUGAAGGUCUUUGGAUGCAUCUGUUAUACACAUGUACCUGCUGUUAAAAGGGACAAAUUGUCUGAAAGGGCUCAACCUGGUGUUUCGGUGGGGUAUAGCACUGUUAAGAAGGGCUAUAGGAUUUUAGAUCCUUCAACAAACAAAGUGUCAAUAAGCAGGGAUGUGGUAUUUGAUGAGAGGUCAUGUUGGAACUGGGAAAGACAUGAACCUGAAGAAGUUUCUGAAGAACUUGCAGUAGACCAAGCUGAGCCAGACCAAAAUGUCCCUGAAAUGGAUAUUGAUGAUGAACCAGUCAGAGGAACAAGGUCAUUGGCUGAGGUUUAUGAAAGGGCUUAUGUAGCCAUAGCUGAACCAAGCAACUUUGAAGAGGCUGAGGCUCAACAAGGGUGGAAGCAGGCAAUGGCUGAGGAGAUCAGCAUGAUUGAGAAGAACCAGACCUGGAAAUUGGUUGAAAGGCCAGUCAAAAGGAAGGUGAUUGGGGUGAAAUGGGUGUACAAAGCCAAGCAGAAUGCUGAUGGUACCUUGAACAAGCUAAAAGCAAGGCUAGUGGUCAAGGGGUUCAGUCAGAGGUAUGGCUUGGACUACUUGGAGACCUUUGCACCAGUGGCCAGGCUCGACACCAUCAGACUGCUGAUUGCCUUAGCAGCACAGCUCGAAUGGAAGAUCCAUCAACUUGAUGUGAAAUCAGCCUUUCUGAAUGGUUUCUUAGAUGAAGACAUCUAUGUUGAACAACCACAAGGGUUUGAAAUAGCUGGCAGAGAGCAUAUGGUCUACAAAUUGAAGAAGGCCCUAUAUGGCUUAAAACAGGCUCCAAGGGCCUGGUACAGCAGAAUCGAUGGCUACUUGACUGAUCUGGGAUUCAAUCGAAGCAAGAGUGAGCCAACACUGUAUGUCAAGAAGCAAGGGACACAAACACAACUCAUUGUGUCCCUAUAUGUUGAUGACCUGCUGGUGACAGGAGGAGAUCAAGCAGUGCUGGUUAAUUUCAAGACCAAGAUGCAAGAGGUGUUUGAAAUGUCUGAUCUUGGGGAGAUGUCCUAUUUUCUUGGAAUGGAGGUGACUCAAGCACAGAAUGGGAUAUUUUUAAGUCAGAAGAGCUUUGCCACAAAGAUUCUGACCAAGUUCUCCAUGCAAAACUGCAAACCAACUAAAACACCUGUUGCUGUUGGAGAAAAACUAUCGAGCCAAGGAGAUUUUGAGAAGGUAUGUGAAACUACCUACAGGAGUCUAGUUGGUUGUUUGCUAUACUUGACUGCCACUAGACCAGACAUAAUGUAUGCUGUAGGAUUGCUCUCAAGGUUCUUGCAUUGUUGCAAUGAGAAGCAUUUCCAGGCUGCCAAGAGAGUGCUCAGAUAUGUCAAAGGCACUUUGGACUAUGGCUUAAGGUACAGCAGGAAAGGAAAUCUAAAUCUAGUUGGGUACACUGAUAGUGACUGGGCUGGAUCGAUAGAUGACAUGAAAAGCACCUCAGGGUAUGCUUUCAACCUUGGUUCAGCUAUGUUCUGCUGGAGCUCGAAGAAGCAAAGUCUGGUGGCACAAUCUACUGCUGAAGCAGAGUAUGUGGCAGCAGCAAGUGCUGUCAACCAAGCCAUUUGGCUUAGGAAAAUCCUGGCUGAUUUGAAUAUGGAUCAAAGGGAAGCAACAUAGAUCUUCUGUGACAAUCAAUCUACUGUUGCAAUUGCCAAAAAUCCUGUGUUCCAUGGAAGAACAAAGCAUUUUAGCAUUAAGCUAUAUGUUGUUCGAGAAAUGGAGCAAGCUCAGGAAGUGAAGCUAAUUCACUGUAAUUCAGAGGACCAGCUUGCAGACAUUUUGACUAAAGCCCUUAAUGUCACAAGGUUUGAGCAUUUAAGAAGAAAAUUAGGUGUUUGCACAAUGCUAACCAAGGAGGAGUGUUGAAGUUGGUCAGCAUGAAGCCAACACUCGAUUCCAUACAGGCCAUGAAGACCAAGCAAAGCUGGAACAGAUGCAAGGGCUGCUGAUGCAAGCUCAUUUUGUUCAUUUUGUUAUAUUUAGUUGAUGAAAUGAGUGUUAGUUCAUUUCUAACUAAGUUAGCUUUCUGAUUGAUGUAAUUAGCUUAUGUAUGAGCUGUAAACACAGUUUUGUAUAAGUUUACAAGCUAAGAUUUCAAGUUUCUAUGUAAUUAGUGGAGGUAGGUAAUUACUUGUUGAUUUUGACAAGCCUUAUGCUUGAGUUAUGUACUGGCUUCAAGCCAUUGUUUUAUGUAUGAAUGAAAUCAGUUUUGUUCAUCAAUAUUCUCUCAAAUUUCCCCAGCUUAUUCUCUUCUUUCUUUAACUCGAAAUUGUUUGUUUGCUCAGCAAGUUUCGAGGCUUGCUCGACAAGAUACUUGCUGAGUCUGCUUGAUUCUGUUGUUGCACCAACACCUUUCCAGAAUAAUAUCCGUUUCAGCUGCCCCUCCCAUAUUAAUUUCUUUGGACACAUGCUCUGACUCCACCUUUUCAUUAUCCACCUCUAUCAUAUUCUAACAUUCAUUACUCUUCUUCCCAUUUUCAAGAUUAACUACCAUUAAUGCUCCUGUCUUGCCGCCGCUAUUCCUUCGGACUAGAUUUUCAGCCUUAACCUCGCCACCGAACUAGCUUCCGAUAUGCUAACUUCUUCUUUUUUCUUCUAGCCAUCCUUAUUGAUAAAGCUAUCUUCUUUCAGCUCGGGCAAACCCCUUUCCCUUACUUUGAUCGAAAAAAUAAUAUCAGCAACUUCCAAUCUAACAACUUCAUCAAUCAUGUUCAUUUGAGAAAAAGAAAUCAGCAGCUCAAUUUUUUUGAAAUUGUGAACUUUAAUUAAAUUUUUGCCAACUGACACCAGCUUCCCCCAUAACCUAGCAACUCUUUUUAUAGGUUUCAUAGUUCCAGCAGUGCAAUGGCACUCCAGAGACUUCAAUCCACGACACCCUCUCUUUUAGCUUCAAUUUCUCCAACCAUGGCUCAAUGUUAAUGAAAAAAAUAUUUCAAAUAUGACCACUCAGUUUGCCUUAACAGCUCCAUCAGUUCUUCAUCCGGAAUUUUGACCAAGAAAUGUCUUCCUUGAAUCCUUCUUACUGUUAUUUCCCCAAGACCAUUUUUUUCUAAACGAUCAUUAAGGCUUUUUGAAUCACAUACUAAAAUUGAUUCGCACACCGAGCAUUUCUGUAAGUUCCAUAAUAGUUCGACUUCAACAUGACCUUGAAUUUUUCUGAUCUCAGUUUUCAUAUCCCCUCUUUCGUUAUUAACACUCAUUUCUUCACCUUUUACUUCUCCAUCACUUUACAAAACAUGUAUAUCAUGCACUAAGCUUCCAUAAUUCAUCAUUUAACAUCACAAAACUCAUGAAUGCAUCAAUGGCAUCUCAUCAGGUUAUCAACAAUUUCACAAAUUUAAACAUGGGCUAGUUAGAACACUUAACAACGAUCUCAAAAACCUAGAAAUCAUUAAAAACUGAACAAAAACACAUACCUAAUUAGCCAAGAUAAGUGCCAAAGCCCUAAGGUCAAUUUCCUUUCUUUUUCUUUGAAGCAUUCGGCCAAACAAGAUGAAAUGGCCUAAUUUCAUGCCUUUUGUUUUAUUUUAAUUUACAUUAAAUAAUAAAUUACCUAACCAUCUAUUAUAACCUUUAUAAUUACAAUUUUACCAAACCAUGUCUCCCACUUUCACAUAUAAUGGUCUCAUUGACAUGCAAGGACCUCAACUUUAACAAACCAUAGUAAUUAGGGACUUUAACAAUUUGUAGUCAACUUUUACAUUUUAUGCGAUUAGGUCCUUUUUGCGAAUUAAGCACACAAAUCAUAAAAUUUUAACACGAGACUUUCACACAUAUUAAUUACAUAACAUAAGCACAAAAAAUAAUAUUAAAAUAUUUUUUUGACUUAGAUUUGUGGUCAUGAAACCACUGUUCCAACUAGGGUCUAAACUGGGCUGUUACACCCUCUCUUUCAUUACUUUAGGGUUUUUGUUCUUGAUUCUUAGACCAAUUGCUUCCCUCUUCUUCCCUUCUCAACAAGUUUUGCCUUGGCUGAUUCUCUGCACCCCACUCCCUCACUCAAGGAUUAGUCGAAUACACAUUUUUCCCCUCCUUUGAUUCUUUUUGGUGUUAACAGAUUUCCUUUCUUUUCAUUGUACUAUUGUGACCGAAUACCCCUUUCAUCUCUCUCUCAAUUCUGUCCCCUUUUCCCGUUGCACCUUGGCCGAAUAUUUAGUCUCCCUUAAUCAAUUCUGUCUAGGCCAAAUUUUUUUUCCUCUAUUGUUGUCUCGAAUAAAAGUGUGAUUGUUACAUCUUGAGACUCAGUUCGAGUGGGUGCUUCUAGGGGGAGGCCGAGUACCACUAUCUUCUAUUAUUAAUCUACGCUCUCGGUAAGUUGCUAUUCACGUGGUUUGAUUAUUUGCAUGUAUAAUCUUAGUUAACAAAUGACGAUUGGGAUACAGGUAGUAUUUAAGGAUUCCAAGCAAUCACUUGCAACAGUUUUAGUGUGUGAUCGAUUGGGACAUAUGAUAGGUAAUCUUUUGAAUAAGUGUUUGAUUAGAGUUUGCUUCGACUCGAUUGUUAGUCCAUUAACCGAAGCUUCUAUUUGAAAUAAGUUGGAGUGCUCAUAGGCUAGUGCAUAUUUUCAUAAAUAGGUGUGUAAUCAUUGUCUUAACUGUAAGUCGGCAAAAGUCGAAAAAUAGGACUGCUGAUGCCACAUGGGUGUGUGAUCGCUCGUGUGGUAACCCCAAACACAUAACCGUGGAUACUAGAUUACGAGAGGCCAUCAUGGGCGAUUUCAUGGGCUUAGGCCGUUUUGGGCCAUGUUGGAUCAAAAUAAAUGACCGUAAUACCCCCAUAAGGUAAAAUAACCAAAAUACCCCAUAGGGUAAAAUGACCGAAAUACCCCCAUAGGGUAAAAUGAUCGAAAUACCCUCAUAGGGUAAAAUGAUCGAAAUACCCCCAUAGGUAAAAUGUCUGAAAUAACCCUAUAGGGUAAAAUGAUUGAAAUACCCCUAGAAGGUAAAAUGACUGUAAUACCCUGUAUGGUAAAAUGAAUGUUUUGCCCUUAUGAGGUGAAAUGACUGUUUUGCCCUUAUGUGGUAAAAUGAUUGAAAUGCCCUUACAUGGUGAAUUGACUAUUUUGCCCCUAUGUGAGAUAUUUAUAUAUAUGUAUAUGUAUAACUAUUUUUUAGCUUGCUAUUUAAUCAGUAAUGGAUACAUGUAUGAUUCUAUGAUAUGACAUGACAUAACUAUAUGAUGCAUUGCAUAGGGAUGGGUUUUUUAUAAUUGGAGGAAGUGUACUGUACUGGCAGCUCUGCUGCAAAUCACUUAUGGCUUUAAGCCUAUUUUACUGGCAGCUCUGCUGCAAAUACCGUUUAGUGCCGCAACCGGUGCUAUAUUUUUGGUCUGUAGGGAUGGGUGUGUUGAUUUUAUCCCCACAUGAUGUGUAGAGCUGGACGGAGAUGGUGUGUAGAGGCUGGAUGGGUAGGACUUGCAUACUGUUUACUGUUACUGCACUGUUUACUGUUACUGCAAAGGGCCAAGGCCUGAACAUAUGACUGUUUUUGUAUUGGGAUGGGCUAAAGCCCAAAAUGAUAUUGUCACUGUUACUGAUACGGGCUUAGGCCCAGACUGUAUUUGUUUACUGCAUGAUUGACUAUCUGUUUAUUAAGGGAUUACACAUUGAGUUUUCGUAAACUCACCCUUCUGUUUAUCUGCGUAGAUAAUCCUUAGGUGGAUCGGUGCUGCGAGGGAUUCGAAGGUGGCCACACAAUCGUACAUGCUUCUAUUAUUGACUUUUAAGCUAUGUCGAGACCAUUUUUAAAUUGGGUUUUGGAAAAUGGGAAUCGACUUUAAAAAUGAAAACAGGAGUCGCCACCAAUCUUUUUAGGUGUGAUUGGAUCACCUUUAAAACAUUUGUUUUAAAAUCGUUGGUUUUGGUCUACGAAAUCAAAAGAAUGGGUUCAGGAGUUGGUUACGUACGAGGAAGGGUUGGCACCCUUGUAACGCCCAAAAAUUGGUACCUAAUUGAUUAUCAAAAUGUCUUUAUUAAGAUGUAAUCCUCUUUAAAGUAUUUGAAAAUUUGGGUUCACUUGUAUCAAAGUAUUGACUGUAAGUUAGCCUUUUAGAGAUCUCUAUCUCGAAAGAACAAAAUGCUACAUCCAGUAAGUUAGGACAUAUCACUUUGCAAUUCCAAGACAGUCAUUUAUAUUUUGAAAACCUUUAAAAACUUAGAAGGGUACUUGACUAUUCGAACUUAACGAGAAAAGUUGCAACCCAAUAAUUUAGGGCACUACUUUUUCGAAAUUUCCAAACACCAAGCAUUGCCUUUAUAUAUAUAUAUUUUUUAAAAUUUUGGAGCCUUGUCUUUUUAAAGAUGAUGUGUGGAGAAUUGUAUUACAUUAUAAAUCAUACAUAGUAACAUAUUAUUGUAAUAGGUAAAUAACACGUGCAUUUAAACAAAAGGAUGGCAAUGAUAUAAAGAUCGUGCAUUAGAUUCAUACAUAUAAAAUAGCAAAUAUGCAUACAAAGAUAUAUAUAGCAUGUAUUGAGAAUGAAUAAACAAAAUAUACAAACUUACAAGGUAAUAAUUAAAUAAUGCAUGAUAUAUAAGAAAGCAAUAAUUAAAUAAUAUAUGACAUGCAAAUAAAAAUAUAAUAUCAAUUUACAUGUUUACAAAAUAUAACAUACGAUAAUAAUUAUAACUAUAACAUAUAAUAAUUUAUGAAUUUUAGAUAAUAUAUAUGAUAUAAACAUAAAUAAUAUAAUUGGUAAUAUAUGAGAUACAUAACAUAUAUAAAAAAAUAUAGAAUAAAAAAAAUAAAUUAUAAUAAAUGUUAUAUAAUAAAGUAUAUAGGAAAUAAGAAAUAUAACAUAAAACAAUGAAAGUUCAUAUGUAAAAAUGACAUGUAUAAAUAAUUAGUAAAUAUAUAAUAUAUGUGAAGAUAUAAUAAUAUAAAAAAAUUGAUGUAAAAUAAUAAUAAUUUGAUGAAAAUAACAAAUAAUAAUAAUACAUAUAAUAAUACUUGUAAUUUUAAUGUGUAAUAUAAAAGUAAGGUUAAAAUAAAACAAAUAACAAUAUAUUGAUAUAUAUAAUAAAUAAAAACAUAAAUAAAUAUAGGACUAAAUUUAAAGUCCAGCCAAAUUACGGGGCGAAUUUAAAAGAACUAAAAUUGAAUUAAGGCUCUAUUUAAAACGCGUGUAAAAUCAAAGGGGCUCACUGGGUAAAUUGCCCUAUCCCCAAAACGGGACUUUUUUCAGAAUAUAAUUUAAUAGCCAUCGGGACUAAAUUAAAACUAAAAUAAAAUAUUGGGCCAAAUCAUAAAUAAAAUAAAGUUUGAUUGUAAAUACAAAAAUGGGCAGAAGGAUCAAUUGGGAAAUUAACCCAAUUCUAAAAAUGCGCGGAUCCUCCCCGGGUAAUCGGGUCAACGCGCGGAUCCUAGGGGUCUAAAACGUCGACGUUUCACAGGGGCUAUAUAAUCCAAGGCUUUAGCCCAAAAAUCAUUUUACAUCGUUUUUAAAAAAAAACUUAAAAUUCUCUCUGAAAUGAGAGAAGAGAGAGAGUGUGCUUGGCUCCAGCCUCCGUCAAGCCGAGCCUUGGUCCUCGACCUCACGCGCCCACGCGCCGUCACCAACUCCUCCCUGUACGGUGGUCGGAGGUCCAAACCUUGAUUUUUAACGCAAAUAAAGGUUCGACCUUUUCCAUCUUCAUUAUUUACAGUUUACAAGUAUGUAUAUGUAUUAGAAAUUUCACCUUUGUAUAUUCGUUCGGUUGAGAUGUUUGCAGUGUAUAUAUGCGCGAGAAUAAAUCUUUGGCUGACACUGUAUUUUUAUUGAUUAUAUCUGUGUAUUUUUUGAACGUAAGUCUUUACAAGUGAAAUGAAAGGCUUUAUAGCCUUGGUUCCUUACAUAUUCGGGGAAAGAAGUCUAAGAUUUCUUUCUAUUUUGUGUCUUCUGUAUCUCUGACUGAUGUGCUGUGAUUUUCUUGCCAUUUUCUGCUCUGCUUUUUUGCGUAUCUGCUGUUUGUUUCCUUUUCUUGCAGGCAAUCGAGCGAGGAAUCCAGUAAUGACCUUGCUGCGCACUGAUCACGGAGGUUGAAUCAAGGCACUGAUGGAGGGUUACUGAAACGUCGUGAGAGACGAGCAGAUACAUCCAUUGAAAUUGCUUCUGGAAGCUUCUGUUUGUAGCACGAGGAGAAAGGCAGAAACCCUAGGGUUUCCUGCCUUGGUGUAACAAGCUGGGCCAAUUGGGAUUUUUGAAUUUGGGCUAGCUAGUUUAUUUGGGUCACUAGUGUUUGUGGGUCUACUGGGUAGUUUAGGCCUGAUUGGGUUACAAGUGUAACGGGCUUUGGGCUUAUCAGGCUUUGAGGCCUAUUUAUUUGUAAAUAGACUUUAAUGGACAUUUUAAAUAAAUAUUUAUUUAUUCAUAUUCUGCUUUCAGCCCGAUCAAAUUUAGGCUCUUACAGCUGCCCCUCUUUGCUCAUUGCUAUGUAAUAGGAAUUGAGCAAAGACCAUAAAGGACCAAAUUUGUCCGGUCUGGCCCAGUCUUUGUGAUCACUUCCUCGAAUGGUCUUCAACCUAUCUUCUCCUUACGACCUCAAGAAUGCUAUGUUGAUAUCUUUGAUCUAUUUUCUGCCAAACACAGAGAUACCGAGUCUGGUUCUUCGAUUUGUAGAGAUGCCAAAUCAUCUUGAAUCUAGCUUCAGUGAAAUUAUCUGAAGGUGUGACUUGCUAUGUAUCUGCUCCCCGUUGAAGUGGAGAUGCCUGACUUCGAUUUGUUCUUGACAAUACAGAGAUAACAAAUCAUCUUAGAUUUGCUUUAUCGUAAACACGUGGAAGCCAAAUCAGCUAUGUUUUUUAUUUGUUCCUUGUAAGCACAAGGAUGUCAAAUCAUCUUAGAUCUAUUUUGAGAACUUUUGAGAGUCAUAUCUGCCAUGUCCUCAAUUUGUCCCUUGUAAGCACAAGGAUGCCAAACCAUCUUGAGUCUGUUUGAGAACAUUUGAGAGUCUUAUCUGCUAUGUCCUCGAUUUGUUCCUUGUAAACACAAGAAUGGCAAAUCAUCUUAGAUCUACUUCAGUAUAAAUAUCUGAAGGUUAGAUCUGCUAUAUCUGAGAACAUAUGAGAGUCAAAUCUACCAUGUCCUCGAUUUGUUUCUUGUAAACACAAGAAUACCAAAUCAUCUUGGAUUUGCUUCAGCAUAAACGUCUGAAGUCUAGAUCUACUAUAUCUGAGAACAUCUGAGAGUCAAAUCUACUAUGUCCUUGAUUUGUUUCUUGUAAACACAAGAAUACCAAAUCAUCUUGGAUCUACUUCAGCAUAAACGUCUGAAGUCUAGAUCUGCUAUAUCUGAGAACAUCUGAGAGUCAAAUCUGCUAUGUCCUCGAUUUGCUUCUUGUAAACACAAGAAUACCAAAUCAUCUUGGAUCUGCUUCAGCAUAAACAUCUGAAGUCUAGAUCUACUAUACUGCGGCCUAUUACCCUACUAUUUAAGGGGCUAAAGCAUGCCGUCUUUGAUAACCUGUAGAAUGAUUCUGCCUAGUAAUUAGGAUGCUAUGCUCAAGUGAGUUGAAUGUCCCUAAUUAAACAUGUUAUGAUGCAGAGUGCUGUGAAUAUGACCCCUAUCUUAUGCAUCACCAUUUAUUCCUUCUUUUGUCUUUCUUUUCUCAAAAUUUCAUUCUUACUCAGCUUGUAGGCCUUCCUCCAAUGCUACAAUCUACUGAGGAUGUCUGUAAGAAUUGAAUCAUUGGUUUGUCCAUUUCCUUUUGGACUGGAAGAAAAAAAUUCCUCGAGUUCCUUCAUCCCUUACUUACGUGAAUUUCUCGAACAAUUGUCCUGUUUUAGUUUCUUGCAUUAUCUAGAAAUUCCAAAGUAAUGUGCAAAACUUCGUUUGUGAAAAUAUUUUAGUUCAUCUAUCAUUAUUUCAAUGCAACAUACUUUAGGAAUAUCGGGAGAUGAAUAAAUCUUUAAAAAUAAUUGGAUUUGAAUGAAUUGUUAACAAUACAAAGGAAAUAAGUCUGUAGCAUAUCUUUAAGAAGAAAUAGAAUCUAAAGAUAGCAAACAGGAUAAAAAUUAGAUGCUCUAAAUAUCGCCGCUUGAGCGUCUAUACAUUAGUUCCAUGGAACCUUUCUUGAGUUUCUACAUGUGUUUAAAAGAUCCAAAGUACUUUGUUGAUGCCCCAAUGUACAUCAUGCUUUACUCUCUGCCGAGUCAGAUAUAGCCAAAUUGUUGUAUGCCCUUCAAAAUUUGAGCUGCCCUUUCGGGUUUUCAACUUAAAACCCCUUUGGUCACAAGGCGCCCUUUGCGGGUUUUCACCUUGGCCUCUCCAUUUUUUUUUUAAAAUUCAAAGUGCCCUUUGCAGGUUUUCACCUUGGAUUCUUUUCUCCUUUAGACAAACUGAGUUUGAGUUCACUGGAUUGAGUAGGCUCUUUCCAUCCAUUUCUGUCAAAAUCAAUUCACCGCCAAAAAAAGCCUUCUCCACGACGUAUGGCCCCUCCCAAUUUGGCAUCCAUUUUCCUCUAAAGUCCUUCUGAAUGGGAAGGAUUUUCUUUAGCACAAGGUCCUCCUCAUGGAAUUCCCUUGGACGAACCUUUUUAUCAUAAGCUCGCAUCAUACGCUUUUGGUACAUCUGACCAUAUCGGAUGGCUUUUAGCCUCUUUUCCUCAAUCGAGGUUAGCUGGUCAUAUUGGGACUGAACCCAUUCAGCUUUAUCUAACCUUAUCUCUGUUAAAAUUUGGAGAGAAGGUAUUUUUACUUCAAUAGGUAACACUGCUUCCAUCCUGUAAACUAAUGAGAACGGAGUUGCCCCAGUAGAAGUUCUGAUAGAUGUUCGAUAGGCCAAGAGUGCAAACAGUAGCUUUUCAUGCCAAUCCCUAUAAGUCUCAGUCAUCUUUCCUACUAUUUUCUUAAUGUUCUUAUUGGCAGCCUCUACUGCCCCAUUCAUCUUUGGACGAUAGGGUGAAGAGUUGUGAUGCUUGAUUUUGAACUGGUCGCAAACCUCUGUUAUCGUUUUAUUGUUCAAAUUCAAUACAUUGUCGGAUAUGAUCCUCUUAGGCAUACUAUACCGACAAAUGAUUUCCUUCUUCAAAAAUCGACUUAGAGUUGACUUAGUAACAUUUGCGUAAGAAACAGCCUCUACCUAUUUUGUAAAGUAGUCAAUCACCACGAAGAUAAAUCGAUGUCCAUUCAAAGCUUUCGACGAUAUUGGUCCGAUGACAUCCAUACCCCACAUGGAAAACGACCAUGGAGACGUCAUGACAUGUAAAGGUGAGGGGUGGCAAAUGAAUUUUGUCCCCAUAAAUCUGACACUUAUGGCAUUUUUUGGCAUAGUUGAUGCAGUCUCCUUCCAUAGUGGCCCAGUAAUAGCCAAACCUCAUGAUUUGUCUUGCCAUCGUGAACCCAUUUGCAUGCGUACCACAUACACCUUCAUGAACCUCUUUUAGAAUUAGCUUGGCCUCCACAACAUCGACACAUCUCAAAAGUACUUGGUCUUUCCUCCUCUUGUAUAGAACAUCCCCAUCCAAAACAUAGUCACAAGCUAACCUUUUCAAAGUUCAUUUGUCAUUUUCGGUUGUCUGCUCUGGAUAUUUACGAUCUCUUACAUAUCGCAAUAUAUCCUGAUACCAAGGAUUAUCAUCCUUUUCUUCCUCUUCAAGGUUAUAAUAACUAGCCGGAGCUUCAUAGACACUCAUUUGAAUUGGUCUUAUCUCUUCUUCUUUAUUUGCCUUAAUCAUUGAGGCCAAGGUUGCUAGAGCAUCUGCCAUCUGAUUUUCGUCUCGCGGGAGAUACUUAAAGGUGAUAUCAUCAAACUCCUUAAGUAACCCCAAAACUACCUUUCGAUAAUUGAUCAAUUUAGGGUCCAUUGUCUCCCAUUCACCUCUAAGCUGAUAAAUUACCAACGCCGAAUCUCCCUACACUUCUAGGAUUCUUAUACCUCGCUCUAUGGCCGCUUGAAGUCCCAUAAUGCAUGCUUCAUACUUUGCCAUAUUGUUCGUGCAAUCAAAGUCCAACUUGCAUGUGAAUAGGUAGUGAUCGCCAUUAGGGGAUACCAAGGCUGCCCCAAUUCCAUUUCCCACUGCAUUAGAAGCCCCAUCAAAAUUAAGAAUCUUCAGUCAUUGCUAUACACAUUAACUCCUCAUUUGGAAAAUCAAAAUUUAAUGGCUCAUAAUCCUCUAUAGAUCUACUAGCCAAGAAAUCAUCUACCGCACUUCCUUUUAUAGCCUUCUGACUUACGUAGACUAUAUCGAACUCCGAAAGUAAAAUUUGCCACCUUGCCAUCCUUCCAUUUAGAGCAGUUGAUUCCAUCAUGUAUUUCAAUGGAUCUAACUUGGAGAUAAGCCAAGUGGUAUGGUAUAGAAUGUACUGUCUUAAUCUCUGGGUGGUCCAGAUUAGCGCACAACACAACUUUUCAAUUGGCGAAUAUCUCAUUUCACAGUCAAUGAAUUUUUUACUGAGAUAAUAAAUUACUUUCUCCCUUUUCCCCGACUCGUCAUGUUGACCAAUCACACAUCCCAUAGAAUUGCUGAACACUAACAAGUAUAGUAUUAACGAUUUAUCUGGACUAGGUGGAGAUAACACUGAAGCAUUCAACAAAUACUGCUUGACUUUCUCAAAAGCAUUCUGGCAUUCUUCAUCCCAAGUACCUUGAUUGUGCUUUCUGAGGAGGCGAAAGAUAGGAUCACAUUUCUCGGUCAAUUGUGAAAUGAACUGAGCGAUGUAAUUUAACCUUCCUAGGAAUCCUCGAACUUGUUUUUAAGUACGUGGUGGAGGCAACUCUCGUAUGGCUCUGACCUUGUCUGAGUCAACUUCAAUUCCCUUUUCACUGACUACAAAGCCUAAUAACUUCCCCGAUCUGGCUCCAAAGGUGCACUUUGCUGGAUUGAGCUUCAACUGAAAUUUUCUCAACCUUAAGAACAAUCUUCUCAAGACCUCAAUGUGUUCUUUUUCUGUUCGCGACUUGGCGAUCAUAUCAUCAACGUAUACCUUAAUAUCUUUAUGCAUCAUGUCGUGAAACAAGUUUACCAUGGCUCGUUGAUAUGUUGCCCCUGCGUUCUUCAGCCUAAACGGCAUUACUUUAUAACAAAAGGUGCCCCACAAUGUUAUGAAAGUAGUUUUAUCCAUAUCCUCUGGAUGCUUCUUUAUCUGAUUGUAUCCUGAGAAGCCAUCCAUGAAAGAGAACAAUGAAUAUCCCGCUGUGUUGUCUACUAAAGUGUCAAUAUGUGGUAGAGGAAAAUUAUCCUUUAGGCUUGCUUUGUUUAAAUCUCUGUAAUCAAUGCACAUUUGUACCUUUCUGUCCUUCUUAGGAACAGGUACAAGGUUAGCUACCCAUUCAGAGUACUUCAUUUCUUGCAAGAAUCCUGUAUCAAACUGCUUCUUGACUUCAUCCUUUAUUUUCAGAACAAUAUCCGGCCGCAUUCUUCGUAACUUUUGUUGAACCGGUUUGCAAUCUUAUCUUAUAGGAAGACGAUGUAAUACAAUGUCAAUACUCAAUCCGGGCAUAUCCUGAUAAGACCAUGCAAAAAUAUCCUUGAAUUCUUGAAGCAACUCAAUCAAGCUACGCCUUGUGCCUUUGGUGGUCAGUGUUCCAAUUUUCACCUCCUUCCCUUCCUCUAGGGCUAUGUUCUCUAUUGCCUCUUUCUCAUGUGGCAUGAUUUGUUUCUCCUCCUAUUUUACCAUUCUUAAGAGAUCGAGAGAUACGUCACAAUCUUGAACAUCUUCAAAAUCCUGAGGUUCCUCUAAACACAUGUCUUGCUCACAAGAGAAAUCAGGAGCGGCAGUAUUAGCGCUCAUAUCAUUGAUAUCUAGAGACCUGUGAGGGGUAUGAAAGAAUAUACCAAGAAUGAAUGAAUUUAAGAAUGAUCAUUUAUGUGCUAUGAAUAAAAGAAUAAGAGUUGUUAAAAUUUAAAGGAAUAUGGUUGAUAAAAAUGAAGCAAUACUCUUUUAAAUAGAUAAAAGUUAUGUUUUAUUUGAAUAAUAAUAAUGAACAUGAGCCUAUUUUCACAAAUGUAAUCUUACUACUCCUAGGCCCUAGAGUAAUAAACAUGUUUCGAGAAUUACUCUAAAAAAUUUCUAAAGACUAUAGGAAGAUCCUUCGCAGUCCAAUUGUUCAGUGAGCUCCCCAGUUCGUAAGGGCGAAUACCCUCAAGGUUUUCCUGUCCCAACCACUCACUAUGUACAACAUUGAUUUGAUGACUCUCUUCUACCAGCAACCCUCCUGACUUAAAGGUUUUGGAUAUAGGUAGGAAUGUCAUCGGUUCCCACUCUACUUCUCCUCCGUUCAAAUGCGCCUUCCUUCUUGCUUGACGCUUUUCCAUCUCCUGUCUCUUGUGUUUAUGGUCUGGCUUGAAACCCAAACCAAAGCGAUCCUUCUUCUCCAUCAGUUUUGGGAUUUGAAUCCCUUAUUGCAACUAUUUUCCUAGUCCUUUUCCUGGUGAUGCCCCCUUUCCCAUCAUCAUUUGCAGGGCUAUCCUUGUAGCUCCGGACAUUUUGGGCACUGGCACCUCGCUUCCUUCCGAAAUGAAGGUUGCGUUGAUAAUUUCUAGAGAGCGAAAAGAACAUUCAACAGACUCUUCAUUGGCCUCAACGUAAGGGGCUUUGCCAGUGACUGUUGCUAUGAUAUCCUCCUCCGCAUUGAUAGUUAUUAAUCAUCCAUCUGUUACUAACUUCAAUUUCUGGUGUAAUGAGGAGGGCACUGCUCUUGCCGAGUGUAUCCAUGGUCUCCCUAACAAGCAAUUAUAGGAGGGUUUGGUAUCCAUCACCAAGAAAUCGACUUCAUACGUAUUUGGCCCGAUUUCCAAGGGAAUGUCAAUUCGCCCCAUCACCUUCCUUUCGAUUUCGUCAAAGGCUCUUACCAUAUUAUGACAUGUCUUCAUGUGCGAACUGUCAAUGGGUAAUCUGUUCAAUGUAGAUAGUGGAAGGACGUUCAAAGCGGACCCAUUAUCAACGAGUACACUUGGAAGCCUGUAUCCUUUGCAACGAGUAGUGAUGUGCAAAGCCUUAGUUGACCCUAUGCCCCCAGGUGGAAUUUCAUCAUCAUUGAAGUAGAUGAAAUUAUCAGCACUAAUGUUAUUUAUCAACCGGUCCAACUUAUUGACAGAUAUAUCGUGAGUAACAUAUGUCUCGUUGAGUACCUUCGACAAUGCUUCUCGAUGUACUUCAGAGCUUAGCAGUAAGGCUAAAAUCGAUAUGCGUGCUGGUUGCUUACGUAACUGCUCGACCAUACUGUACUCACUAUGCUUAAGGAACUUUAGAAAUUCCUUAGCCUCCUCCUCCCUCACAGGCUCGUUAACCGGUACUUCUCUCUUUUUCUCUUUUUCAAUCCCACACUUUUGGAUUUUGUGGGCUCCACUCUGACGUUCCUUGUAUCACAACGCUUCCUACUCUGCGUAUGAAAACCUUCAAUUUGUACAUCUUUAGAUGCGCUGGCUAUAUUUCCUUCCUUCGGUACUGUCACACUACAGUCAUAACUCCAUGGCAAUUUCUUGCUAUCCUUGUAAGGGAAAGGAGUAGGUAUAUGGAUAAUGACCUUGAGCGCUACUGGUGUCCCCACUUCAUUAUUCCCUGGCAGGGAGAUAAUGAUCCUUGGUCUGCUGGUUCUUUGCUGUUCAUUUUCCAGCGCACAUACUUGUUUUUCACUAGAGCUUCCUUCACAAAUCUGUAGCUCUUUAUUGUCUAUAAAGCCUUGCACCAAGGCCUUGAAUUCCUCGCAAUCUUCAUGGAAUUCAUCGUAGUCCCUCGUUCCUUCUCUUGUAUUUUUAGAGGUCAACAUACCUCUCUUCAUCAUCUCCUCCCAGAUCACCCUCAUAGGCAUCCUUAUCUCUGCAACAUUUUCCUUUCCCUUUCUUCCACCAGCUUCAAUAAUAGCAUUUACUCCUUGAUUGUCAUGGUUCGGCAAAGGGCUCUCAGUAUUUGAGGUACUCUAAAAUUUCAAAACCCCAUUCUUGAUCAAUCUCUCUACGGCUUUCUUGAAUCCCGUACAGUUUUCAAUUGAGUGCCCCGAUAUUUCAGCAUGAUACUCACAUCUGGCAUUCGCAUCAUACCAUUUAGGAUAUGGAGGUUGUAAUGGUUUCAAAUGGAAAGGGGCUAUAACAUGCGCAUCAUAUAGGUUUUGAUAAAGCUCCCUAUACGUCACAGGUAUAGGUGUAAAUUGCAUCCUCUCAUGCCUGGUGUUGGAUUCCUGCUUUUGAGACCCCUGUUGCCCAACUGUAGCUACUUUGGGCUGGCUAACCGUGACUGCUUUUGAAUUAAAACCACUUGUUUUAAUGGUACAUGAGACGGAGUAAAACUUGGAGGAGGACCCUCAUUUUCCUCUUCAGUGAUGGCCAUAGGAGCCUUUCCCUUAUCAGUGGCCCUCAGUAACUGAGCCAUUUUGGCCAUUAUAUUCCUCUGAGCUUCCAUCAUUUGCACCCUCAUCUCACUCUGCAUUUUAGCCAACUGCUCUUGCAACUGGUCUUGCAUAUCCUUUUGCAACUGCUCAAACAUUUGAUCCAAGUUUUUAGUCUUAGUGCGAGUGCCGUAGGGAUGUGUGAUUUCCAGAUUUUCUUUUCUACCUUUAAAGAAACUUUAACUAAUUAGGGUCCUCCUACAAUCUUGAAUGCAUAUGAUAAGAUGUAAUGCAAAUGCAUGAAUGCAACAAAGGCAUCAAUCUCGAUUCAAUCUCAUUUAGAAAAUUUUAUUUAGAAAAAGAAUAUCUUUACAUAUAAAUGGAUUACAAGUGCGCUUUCACCCUAAUGCCCAAAGUUUUAACUCUAUCUAAUAAAAGGGCUAACUCUCAUCCUAUAUCUGACGAUAACCCACACAUCAGACUCAAUACAUCGGCUCGUACUGCCAAGUCCUGCACAUAUUUAGCAACCUCUCAAAUCUGGGUUAUGGCUUCUCCCAUGACAUAAUCCCUUUCUUUAACUUGCCCAUUAGCCUGAUGAAGCUCUCCCUUUAGAUAAUCUUCUUGCAUCUCGAGCCGCUCGAUUCAAAGUUUACCUUUAUGUAAUGCUACUUCCAAAUCUUCAACUUUACUCUUUAACUCUUUUAACUCGACCGUAGAAUAAUGGUUGUGAUGCCAACGAAGGGAUCUUCCAAGCUCAGUUACUUUGGACUUCAACCCUUUAUUCUCUUCCUCUAAUGCCAAAUUUCGCGACUGCAUCUCCUAGAACUUCUUCUCCCAGUACUCAGCUCUAGCCUUUCUGUCCUGAACCUCUUUCUGCAACUGAUCUGAGAACCCUCAUAUUCUUGCUUUCCUCAAGGAUACCUAUGCCUUUUUGUAGUGUUCCUUCAAAUCAUCUCUAUCCUCUUCGAUUUUCAUCAUUUCUUUUCUUUCUUUUUCGACCUCUAUCUUCUAGACAUCAAUGUCUAAACUCAAGUACAUCUUUUCUUCUUCAAGCUUUGCUAUCCUUUUCUCAAGCUCCAAAAUUUUCCUCUCAAAUUCUUACUUCAUAAUUUCCAACUCUGAGGGCAUCACUUGCAAAUAUUCCUCCAUCGGUCGAGCUCCUUCCAUGUUUGGCUCAGGAAUAUUAUCAUUGAUCCUUCUUUCUCUCCAUUCAACAUAUUCUGGAGUCGUAGCAGGGCCAAUAGCUACUCCUUUCAACCGACACGUCUUGUUCCAAGUACUAGAGAUCUCACUGACCCUUUUCUUGUAAUCGGCUCCUCUAUACGCGAACUCACUUUGAGCCAGCCCCUGAGUUGCUGGCACAAACUGCCUUAAACCAAAUUGCCUUAACACAAGCAAGAGGCCAUAACCAAUGGCACCCUUGAUUCCCAAUAGAAGGACCCAAUCGAAACUGCCACACUAAUAAAGAAUCUCACCAGGAAUCAUCCAUAGAGCUUUCCACUCAACAUCUUUUGCUUGAAGAUUCUGGAGUAGUGCUAUCCAAUUCUCCUCUGGAACAUCAACUCUCCUAGUUGAAGCGACUAUGUCCUUCAGAGGUGAAUAAUCUUUGAAGAAAACCUGACAAAUGACCCUAUCUAUCAACCGAAAAUGGCUAUAGAACCAAGCUAGAAGUAAUUGGACACAACCAACAAACCUGCCUGCACCAGCCUUCCUACAUGUGCCUAAGGACCUGAAUGUCUCCGCCAAAAUCGCAGGGACAGAAGUGACCCUCUUACUGAGUCAAUGGAAAAGAUCCGUGGUUACCUCAUCCACAUAUCCCAAAGCCCUGGGGAACACUAUCAAUCCAUACAAACUUAAGGCAAAAACAUCUACCUUUUUUAUUUCAUCAGGAUGCGUCAAAAUCAGACCCUUCAAAGUGUCCCAGGAAAUGCACUUGCACUCACCCUUCUCUUUAAUUCUGGUAGUGAUCCACUACUCGCUCAUCCCUGUAAUAGUCAUCAAUUUCUUCCAAAAGGUAGGGACAUUAGCAGUUCGAGAAUAGAUUCUAUCAACCUGGAACCUGGGACAAUGUAACAAGGCAGUGUACUCCUCUACGGUAGGCACCAAGUCUACCUCCCCAAAAGUGAAACAACUGUACGCUGGGUUCCAAAACUGAGCGAGGGCUCAGAACAAAUGCUCAUCUACUUGAACAUCGAGCAAGUAAGGUAAGUCCCCUAAUUACCGUAGAAUAACUGUUUGGUCUCGUUGCCCCAUUGAUCCCAAAUCUCCUUAAGCUCUUGGAGAUUAUUUUGCGUGACACUGAUGCGAGUGUACCCCGACAACUCUGACAUAUAUCCCGUACUAUACAAUCUCCCUUUUCUAAUUGAGUUUGCUCAGACCAUCUGUGGAUGUUAGCAUUGCCCUCCACUCUAUCAAGAAGUCCGUUCUCCAUAAUAAAACUUUCUAACUUAGAAACUGACCGUGAAUCGAUACCUUUUAAAUGCAAAAUAACAUGCAAACAAAAGAAAAGAAAAAGUCAGUAUCAUAUGAUAUCAAUAAAUCUCGACGAUAAUUUAUAAGGGCAAUAUCUAAAGUUUUAAACCUAACUAAGUUGGGCUCUUAUGGUUUCUUUCUAUAUGAAGUUGGCUCUAAAGUUUUGAGGUACCUGAACCAACAGAUUCCUCGAUCCUCACCCAUUAUAGGCUCAUGUGAAUCGAGUUCAGUUCAGGGGAAUACAUUUUCCUAUAGCUACACGGAGAUGAAAAUCUCACGAAACCAUAGGUACGGAUGUAUUCCAAAAGUGAUCCACUAUCCUGCACGGAGGUGAAAACCUCACGAAGGCGUAGCUUCUCACUCCCACUUAAGGGUGUGACCACAACGGUCAUGCAAAUGCAAUGUGUAUCAAAAUAUAGCAACACAUGCAAUAAUACAAACACAUGCAAUGCAAAGAGGAUUAAAUUUUAAAAUUUUUAACUUCUGACAUUAAGACAUGAGAUAAUCAAUUACACGGCUUGACUCUCUUAAAUCCCCAAUGGAGUCUCCAUGCUAUCGAGACCAUUUUUAAAUCGGGUUUUGGAAAAUGGGAAUCGACUUUAAAAAAGAAAACGGGAUUCGCCACCAAUCUUUUUAGGUGUGAUUGGAUCACCUUUAAAACAUUUGUUUUAAAAUCGUUGGUUUUGGUCUACGAAAUCAAAAGAAUGGGUUCGGGAGUCGGUUAUAUACGAGGAAGGGUUAGCACCCUUGUAACGCCUAAAAAUUGGUACCUAAUUGAUUAUCAAAAUGUCUUUAAUGUCAAAAAUUAAAAACUUUAAGAUGUAAUCCUCUUUAAAGUAUUUGAAAAUUUGGGUUCACUUGUAUCAAAGUAUUGACUAUAAGUUAGCCUCUUAGAGAUCUCUAUCUCUAAACAACAAAAUGCUACAUCUAGUAAGUUAGGACAUAUCACAUUCCAAGACAGUCACUUAUAUUUUCAAAACCUUUAAAAACAUAGAAGGGUACUUGACUAUACGAACUUAACGAGAAAAGUUGCAACCCAAUAAGUUAGGGCACUACUUUUUUGAAAUUUCCAAACACCAAGCAUUGCCUUUAUAUAUAGUUUUUAAAAUUUUGGAGCCUUGUCUUUUUAAAGAUGAUGUGUGGAGAAUUGUAUUACAUUAUAAAUCAUACAUAGUAACAUAUUACUUUUGCCGAAAUACCAUAGAAAGCCAGAAUCUGUGAGGCUAGAUGAUGCUGACUUCUUGUUGACCAAGCAACCUUCUUUCUUUUCACUUGUUGGUGGUCAAGUCCUUCUUCGGUUAUGCUCUGGGUGGUACAAGGAAAGACUGUGGUAAGUAUUUGCACUAAAUCGAUUCAGUUGUAACUGUUAACAAAAGCCGAAAUCUCCUAUAGUGUAGGGUGGUGGCCGAAUGUAGGCAUAGGCCUUAUGGAUUUUUCUUUUAAUAAUUUUAUGGUUUAUAUAGUGGAGGAGCAGCAAGGUGUAGUGUCGACUUGGAUUAGCUUGGAUCAUCAGAGUGACUAGAUCUAGUAAUCAAUUUUUGGCAAAGGUAUGGAUUCUAAGGCUAUUGUGGAUGGUGGCCGAAUAUAUAAGUGUUGAAAAUAGAUGGUUCUCAUUUUGGGUUUAAUUAUUAUGGGCUGAUUUAUAAGUGGAUGAUUAUAGGAGAAAUUGUGUAGGAGAUCUCGUCGAGGAAUAUUGCCAAACAGGUGUGUAACGAACCUUCUUUUGUAGCUUAACUCAAUAAAUGCCAAAAAGUCGAAAUGCCGAAAUUCUGGCAUUUUGAAGACUUGUGAGCAAGCAAACGCUCAUCGAUUAAUUAGAUCCUCUAAGAUGAUGAUCGUGAAUAUUGGAAAAGAUCAGAGUAUGACGUUUUCCAUUUACGGUAAGUUGGGCCUCGAGGGGUUAAAAUCGGGCUCACUGGGCUUUCGGGCCCAUUUGGGUAAAUUCGGUAGAAAAUAAAAACCUAUUAAAUUGCACGUUGAGACUGAUAAUACCACUAUGGAAUAUAAGAUAAAUGGGCUUAGAUGACUUAAUCGGCUAUGUAGGGCCCAUUAGGGGUUUUUGGCCCAAUAACUCGGUUUCGCUAAAAUGGGCCAGAAUCACGGUAUAAAACCUAUGAAUUGAUAGUAACUAUUAAUGAACAUGGAAAACCCUAAUACUUGGUAAAAUUGUGGAACUACCUUUACUUUAUGAAAAUGACUAUUUUGCCCCUAGGUAAAAAUGACCAUUAUACCCCUAGGGUUUAAUUAUGAAUUUGAUAUAUGAGAUUCUAAUAUACAUGAUUGAUAUGAUAUACUCAUGAUAUGUAUGAUAUGCACAUGACAUGUAUGAUAUGCACAUGAUAUGUACGAUAUGCACAUGAUGUAUUCAUAAAUGUAUUGGGUUCGGUUUUUAUAUGAAUGGAGGAAGUGAAAAAGGGCUUUGCCCCAAUUUACCAAAAGGGCUUUUGCCCCAGUUAAUAAAAGAGGCUAGGCCUCCAGUUAUAUGAUAAAUUAGCUAUGCUGCUAGUGGAGAGUUUGGUUGGGUGGGCUGAGUUAUUCCCCACAUGGAGAGCUUAGUUGGUACGGGUGGAGAGUAGCAGUUGGUGGGUUGAGUAGUCUCCCCAAAUGGGCUUGCAUUCAUGCAUUAUUCUCACAUGUGAUGUUUAAAUGGGCCUGUGGGCCAUAUCAUUUACAGUUAAAAGGCUUCGGCCCAGUGAUAUGAGUAAUGAAAAGGCUUCGGCCCAGUGGUAUGAAUAAUGGAAAGGCUUCGGCCCAGUAUAUGAAUGAUUAAAGGCUUCAGCCCAGUAUAUGUGGUAACUGAAUUUGGGCUUAGGCCCAGUAGGUUGAUAUUGACUUGGGCUCUGAAGGGGGCUUGUUGCACACUGAGUUUUCCAAACUCACCCCCUUUCUUUCUAAUCUUUGCAGGUGAGCCUUGAUAUGGGGACUUAGAGUCGGAGGGGAUUUGGGGGUGGCCAUGAUGAUCACGUUUGGACUUACCAAUAAAUAAACAGUUGUUCUUCCAGUUUAUCUUCACUUUUAAUACUAUUUAUAUUUGGGUUGUAAAAAGGCCAUUCUAACUAUUUAUUUGGGAUUAUCUUUAAAUAACUUUAUAUUUUCUGAUAAUAAUGAAAGUGGGCUAGUCUUAGGACGUGUUUUCAAAAUGAUACCUAUUUUCAAAAUAUCACAACGACUUACAUUAUUGGAAUAACAAAGAUAACCACUUAAAGGAAAUUACAACUCGUUUACCAAAGUGUGGCAAUGGUUGUGGGCAUGUCUAGGAUUGGAUCCAAACAAGAGCCUGGUACUUAAGCAGCCUUUUCGGCUCACCUUCUCUGUUUCGGAUACCUACAUGUGCCCAGCCUCCAUUCACUCUAAUAAAACGAAACAUAAAUUUUAAACUGCGUGUGACACAUCAGAUUCGACCAUAACGUCCAGGCCGGGUUGGUGGUGGGUGUUAUAUUUAGUGGUAUCAGAGCCCAGUUGCAACAACUCGGCUGUGGGUUUUUAAUGGGUAAAAUUGAGAAUUUCAAAACAGAGGUACUUUAAAUCAGUUUGGGAAAAAAUUUUGAUCAAAAUGCAUGUUUUAAUUUUUAAAUGGUUUGAAGAAAGACGUGGCACACUGAAUCCCCAGCACCAAGUCUGUAAGUACCCUUACUUUUACGUUAAUGAAUUUUGAUUAAAUGUUGUGGAUAAAAUGAGGCCCUACUAUGAUACUGUAAAUAGAGUAGAACUAUAAAACAGUAGGAUUGAGACUGUAGUUAGGCCACGUCACUCACUGCGAAAACAAUCCCUGAAUUACCAUAUUGCCAUAAGACAUCUCUUAAUAAAACUGAAAUAAUUGACUAAUAUCAUAAAAAUUCGUAAACAGAUAAUUCGAUAUGAGUACAAGGGGAGCGCGUGGACGAGGCCGCGGACGUGGACGCGGUCGUGGAAGAGUGCAAGCUGAAUCUUCAUCCUCAAGGCAUAGGCCAGUUGAGGAGACAUUUGUGCCACAGACAACUGAGACUGGGUAGUAUGAUCGAGCUGCGGGGGACGAUGCUUUGUCUCAAGCAAUGCUAGGGUCCUAGAAGGGUUGCUGGAGCUAGCACCGGAACAUAAGUAGAGGAUCCAUCUCUAAGCGACUCCGGGCUAACGAAGCAGAGGUUUUUUAGAGGCGUAUCUGGAGUAGCUCCAAACGUGCUGAGUAUUGGUUAGAGGCAACAGAGCGGAUUAUGGACGACCUCGAUUGCUCUGUGGAGCAAAAGCUGAAAGGNNNNNNNNNNNNNNNNNNNNNNNNNNNNNNNNNNNNNNNNNNNNNNNNNNNNNNNNNNNNNNNNNNNNNNNNNNNNNNNNNNNNNNNNNNNNNNNNNNNNNNNNNNNNNNNNNNNNNNNNNNNNNNNNNNNNNNNNNNNNNNNNNNNNNNNNNNNNNNNNNNNNNNNNNNNNNNNNNNNNNNNNNNNNNNNNNNNNNNNNNNNNNNNNNNNNNNNNNNNNNNNNNNNNNNNNNNNNNNNNNNNNNNNNNNNNNNNNNNNNNNNNNNNNNNNNNNNNNNNNNNNNNNNNNNNNNNNNNNNNNNNNNNNNNNNNNNNNNNNNNNNNNNNNNNNNNNNNNNNNNNNNNNNNNNNNNNNNNNNNNNNNNNNNNNNNNNNNNNNNNNNNNNNNNNNNNNNNNNNNNNNNNNNNNNNNNNNNNNNNNNNNNNNNNNNNNNNNNNNNNNNNNNNNNNNNNNNNNNNNNNNNNNNNNNNNNNNNNNNNNNNNNNNNNNNNNNNNNNNNUGCCCGAUAUUUCAGCAUGAUACUCACAUCUGGCAUUCGCAUCAUACCAUUUAGGAUAUGGAGGUUGUAAUGGUUUCAAAUGGAAAGGGGCUAUAACAUGCGCAUCAUAUAGGUUUUGAUAAAGCUCCCUAUACGUCACAGGUAUAGGGUGUAAAUUGCAUCCUCUCAUGCCUGGUGUUGGAUUCCUGCUUUUGAGACCCCUGUUGCCCAACUGUAGCUACUUUGGGCUGGCUAACCAUGACUGCUUUUGAAUUAAAACCACUUGUUUAAUGGUACAGCUGAACAGAGUAAAACUUGGAGGAGGACCUCAUUUUCCUCUUAAUGAUGGCCAUAGGAGCCUUUCACCUUAUCAGUGGCCCUCAGUAACUGAGCCAUUUUGGCCAUUAUAUUCCUCGAGCUUCAUCAUUUGCACCCUCAUCUCACUCUGCAUUUUAGCCAACUGCUCUUUGCAACUGGUCUUGCAUAUCCUUUUCACUGCUCAAACAUUUGAUCCAAGUUUUUAGUCUUAGUGCGAGUGCCGUAGGGAUGUGUGAUUUCCAGAUUUUCUUUUCUACCUUUAAAGAAACUUUAACUAAUUAGGGUCCUCCUACAAUCUUGAAUGCAUAUGAUAAGAUGUAAUGCAAAUGCAUGAAUGCAAACAAAGGCAUCAAUCUCGAUUCAAUCUCAUUUAGAAAAUUUUAUUUAGAAAAAGAAUAUCUUUACAUAUAAAUGGAUUACAAGUGCGCUUUCACCCUAAUGCCCAAAGUUUUAACUCUAUCUAAUAAAAGGGCUAACUCUCAUCCUAUAUCUGACGAUAACCCAGACAUCAGACUCAAUACAUCGGCUUCGUACUGCCAAGUCCUGCACAUAUUUAGCAACCUCUCAAAUCUGGGUUAUGGCUUCUCCCAUGACAUAAUCCCUUUCUUUAACUUGCCCUUUAGCCUGAUGAAGCUCUCCCUUUAGAUAAUCUUCUUGCAUCUCGAGCCGCUCGAUUCGAAGUUUACCUUUAUGUAAUGCUACAUCCAAAUCUUCAACUUUACUCUUUAACUCUUUUAACUCGACCGUAGAAUAAUGGUUGUGAUGCCAAUGAAGGGAUCUUCCAAGCUCAGUUACUUUGGACUUCAACCCUUUAUUCUCUUCCUCUAAUGCCAAAUUUCGCGACUGCAUCUCCUAGAACUUCUUCUCCCAGUACUCAGCUCUAGCCUUUCUGUCCUGAACCUCUUUCUGCACUGAUCUGAGAACCCUCCUAUUCUUGCUUUCCUCAAGGAUACCUAUGCCUUUUUGAAGUGUUCCUUCAAAUCAUCUCUAUCCUCUUCGAUUUUCAUCGUUUCUUUUCUUUCUUUUUCGACCUCCAUCUUCUGGACAUCAAUGUCUAAACUCAAGUACAUCUUUUCUUCUUCAAGCUUUGCUAUCCUUUUCUCAAGCUCCAAAAUUUUCCUCUCAAAUUCUUACUUCAUAAUUUCCAACUCUGAGGGCAUCACUUGCAAAUAUUCCUCCAUCGGUCGAGCUCCUUCCAUGUUUGGCUCAGGAAUAUUAUCAUUGAUCCUUCUUUCUCUCUAUUCAACAAUAGCUACUCCUUUCAACCGACACGUCUUGUUCCAAGUACUAGAGAUCUCACCGACCCUUUUCUUGUAAUCGGCUCCUCUAUACGCGAACUCACUUUGAGCUAGCCCUUGAGUUGCUGGCACAAACUGCCUUAAACCAAAUUGCCUUAACACAAGCAAGAGGCCAUAACCAAUGGCACCCUUGAUUCCCAAUAGAGGGACCCAAUCGAAACUGCCACACUAAUAAAGAAUCUCACCAGGAAUCAUCCAUAGAGCUUUCCACUCAACAUCUUUUGCUUGAAGAUUCUGGAGUAGUGCUAUCCAAUUCUCCUCUGGAACAUCAACUCUCCUAGUUGAAGCGACUAUGUCCUUCAGAGGUGAAUAAUCUUUGAAGAAAACCUGACAAAUGACCCUAUCUAUCAAUCGAAAAUGGCUAUAGAACCAAGCUAGAAGUAAUUGGACACAACCAACAAACCUGCCUGCACCAGCAUUCCUACAUGUGCCUAAGGACCUGAAUGUCUCCGCCAAAAUUGCAGGGACAGAAGUGACCCUCUUACUGAGUCAAUGGAAAAGAUCCGUGGUUACCUCAUCCACAUAUCCCAAAGCCCUGGGGAACACUAUCAAUCCAUACAAACUUAAGGCAAAAACAUCUACCUUUUUUAUUUCAUCAGGAUGCGUCAAAAUCAGACCCUUCAAAGUGUCCCAAGAAAUGCACUUGCACUCACCCUUCUCUUUAAUUCUGGUAGUGAUCCACUACUCGCUCAUCCAUGUAAUAGUCAUCAAUUUCUUCCAAAAGGUAGGGACAUUAGCAGUUCGAGAAUAGAUUCUAUCAACCUGGAACCUGGGACAAUGUAACAAGGCAGUGUACUCCUCUACGGUAGGCACCAAGUCUACCUCCCCAAAAGUGAAACAACUGUACGCUGGGUUCCAAAACUGAGCGAGGGCUCAGAACAAAUACUCAUCUACUUGAACAUCGAGCAAGUAAGGUAAGUCCCCUAAUUACCGUAGAAUAACUGUUUGGUCUCGUUGCCCCAUUGAUCCCAAAUCUCCUUAAGCUCUUCGAGAUUAUUUUGCGUGACACUGAUGCGAGUGUACCCCGACAACUCUGACAUAUAUCCCGUACUAUACAAUCUCCCUUUUCUAAUUGAGUUUGCUCAGACCAUCUGUGGAUGUUAGCGUUGCCCUCCACUCUAUCAAGAAGUCCGUUCUCCAUAAUAAAACUUUCUAACUUAGAAACUGACCGUGAAUCGAUACCUUUUAAAUGCAAAAUAACAUGCAAACAAAAGAAAAGAAAAAGUCAGUAUCAUAUGAUAUCAAGAAAUCUCGACGAUAAUUUAUAAGGGCAAUAUCUAAAGUUUUAAACCUAACUAAGUUGGGCUCUUAUGGUUUCUUUCUAUAUGAAGUUGGCUCUAAAGUUUUGAGGUACCUAAACCAACAGAUUCCUCGAUCCUCACCCAUUAUAGGCUCAUGUGAAUCGAGUUCAAUUCAGGGGAAUACAUUUUCCUAUGGCUACACGGAGAUGAAAAUCUCACGAAACCAUAGGUACGGAUGUAUUCCGAAAGUGAUCCACUAUCCUGCACGGAGGUGAAAACCUCACGAAGGCGUAGCUUCUCACUCCCACUUAAGGGUGUGACCACAACGGUCAUGCAAAUGCAAUGUGUAUCAAAAUAUAGCAACACAUGCAAUAAUACAAACACAUGCAAUGCAAAGAGGAUUAAAUUUUAAAAUUUUUAACUUCUGACAUUAAGACAUGAGAUAAUCAAUUACACGGCUUGACUCUCUUAAAUCCCCAAUGGAGUCUCCAAGCUAUCGAGACAAUUUUUAAAUCGGGUUUUGGAAAAUGGGAAUCGACUUUAAAAAAGAAAACGGGAUUCGCCACCAAUCUUUUUAGGUGUGAUUGGAUCACCUUUAAAACAUUUGUUUUAAAAUCGUUGGUUUUGGUCUACGAAAUCAAAAGAAUGGGUUCGGGAGUCGGUUAUGUACGAGGAAGGGUUAGCACCCUUGUAACGCCCAAAAUUGGUACCUAAUUGAUUAUCAAAAUGUCUUUAAUGUCAAAAAUUAAAAACUUUAAGAUGUAAUCCUCUUUAAAGUAUUUGAAAAUUUGGGUUCACUUGUAUCAAAGUAUUGACUAUAAGUUAGCCUCUUAGAGAUCUCUAUCUCUAAACAACAAAAUGCUACAUCUAGUAAGUUAGGACAUAUCACUUUGCAAUUCCAAGACAGUCACUUAUAUUUUCAAAACCUUUAAAAACAUAGAAGGGUACUUGACUAUACGAACUUAACGAGAAAAGUUGCAACCCAAUAAGUUAGGGCACUACUUUUUUGAAAUUUCCAAACACCAAGCAUUGCCUUUAUAUAUAGUUUUUAAAAUUUUGGAGCCUUGUCUUUUUAAAGAUGAUGUGUGGAGAAUUGUAUUACAUUAUAAAUCAUACAUAGUAACAUAUUACUUUUGCCGAAAUACCGUAGAAAGCCAGAAUUUGUGAGGCUAGAUGAUGCUGACUUCUUGUUGACCAAGCAACCUUCUUUCCUUUCACUUGUUGGUGGUCAAGUCCUUCUUCGGUUAUGCUCUGGGUGGUACAAGGAAAGACUGUGGUAAGUAUUUGCACUAAAUCGAUUCAGUUGUAACUGUUGACAAAAGUCGAAAUCUCCUAUAGUGUAGGGUGGUGGCCGAAUGUAGGCAUAGGCCUUAUGGAUUUUUCUUUUAAUAAUUUUAUGGUUUAUAUAGUGGAGGAGCAGCAAGGUGUAGUGUCGACUUGGAUUAGCUUGGAUCAUCAGAGUGACUAGAUCUAGUAAUCAAUUUUUGGCAAAGGUAUGGAUUCUAAGGCUAUUGUGGAUGGUGGCCGAAUAUAUAAGUGUUGAAAAUAGAUGGUUCUCAUUUUGGGUUUAAUUAUUAUGGGCUGAUUUAUAAGUGGAUGAUUAUAGGAGAAAUUGUGUAGGAGAUCUCGUCGAGGAAUAUCGCCAAACAGGUGUGUAACGAACCUUCUUUUGUAGCUUAACUCAAUAAAUGCCAAAAAGUCGAAAUGUCGAAAUUCUGGCAUUUUGAAGACUUGUGAGCAAGCAAACGCUCAUCGAUUAAUUAGAUCCUCUAAGAUGAUGAUCGUGAAUAUUGGAAAAGAUCAGAGUAUGACGUUUUCCAUUUACGGUAAGUUGGGCCUCGAGGGGUUAAAAUCGGGCCCAUUUGGGUAAAUUCGGUAGAAAAUAAAAACCUGUUAAAUUGCACGUUGAGACUGAUAAUACCACUAUGGAAUAUAAGAUAAAUGGGCUUAGAUGACUUAAUCGGCUAUGUAGGGCCCAUUAGGGGUUUUUGGCCCAAUAACUCGGUUCGCUAAAAUGGGCCAGAAUCGCGGUAUAAAACCUAUGAAUUGAUAGUAACUAUUAAUGAACAUGGAAAACCCUAAUACUUGGAAAAAUUGUGGAACUACCUUUACUUUAUGAAAAUGACUAUUUUGCCCCUAGGUAAAAAUGACCAUUAUACCCCUAGGGUUUAAUUAUGAAUUUGAUAUAUGAGAUUCUGAUAUACAUGAUUGAUAUGAUAUACUCAUGAUAUGUAUGAUAUGCACAUGACAUGUAUGAUAUGCACAUGAUAUGUACGAUAUGCACAUAAUGUAUUCAUAAAUGUAUUGGGUUCGGUUUUUAUAUGAAUGGAGGAAGUGAAAAAGGGCUUUGCCCCAGUUUACCAAAAAGGGCUUUUGCCCCAGUUACUAAAAGAGGCUAGGCCUCCAGUUAUAUGAUAAAUUAGCUAUGCUGCCAGUGGAGAGUUUGGUUGGGUGGGCUGAGUUAUUCCCCACAUGGAGAGCUUAGUUGGUACGGGUGGAGAGUAGCAGUUGGUGGGUUGAGUAGUCUCCCCAAAUGGGCUUGCAUUCAUGCAUUAUUCUCACAUGUGAUGUUUAAAUGGGCCUGUGGGCCAUAUCAUUUACAGUUAAAAGGCUUCGGCCCAGUGAUAUGAGUAAUGAAAAGGCUUCGGCCCAGUGGUAUGAAUAAUGGAAAGGCUUCGGCCCAGUAUAUGAAUGAUUAAAGGCUUCAGCCCAGUAUAUGUGGUAACUGAAUUUGGGCUUAGGCCCAGUAGGUUGAUAUUGACUUGGGCUCUGAAGGGGGCUUGUUGCACACUGAGUUUUCCAAACUCACCCCCUUUCUUUCUAAUCUUUGCAGGUGAGCCUUGAUAUGGGGACUUAGAGUCGGAGGGGAUUUGGGUGGCCAUGAUGAUCACGUUUGGACUUACCAAUAAAUAAACAGUUGUUCUUCCAGUUUAUCUUCACUUUUAAUACUAUUUAUAUUUGGGUUGUAAAAAGGCCAUUCUAACUAUUUAUUUGGGAUUAUCUUUAAAUAACUUUAUAUUUUCUGAUAAUAAUGAAAGUGGGCUAGUCUUAGGACGUGUUUUCAAAAUGAUACCUAUUUUCAAAAUAUCACAACGACUUACAUUAUUGGAAUAACAAAGAUAACCACUUAAAGGAAAUUACAACUCGUUUACCAAAGUGUGGCAAUGGUUGUGGGCAUGUCUAGGAUUGGAUCCAAACAAGAGCCUGGUACUUAAGCAGCCUUCUCGGCUCACCUUCUCUGUUUCGGAUACCUACAUGUGCCCAGCCUCCAUUCACUCUAAUAAAAUGAAACAUAAAUUUUAAACUGCGUGUGACACAUCAGAUUCGGCCAUAACGUCCAGGCCGGGUUUGGGGUGUUAUAUUUAGUGGUAUCAGAGCCCAGUUGCAACAACUCGGCUGUGGGUUUUUAAUGGGUUUAAAAUUGAGAAUUUCAAAAUAGAGGUACUUUAAAUCAGUUUUGGGAAAAAUUUUUGAUCAAAAUGCAUGUUUUAAUUUUUAAAUGGUUUGAAGAAAGACGUGGCACACUGAAUCCCCAGCACCAAGUCUGUAAGUACCCUUACUUUUACGUUAAUGAAUUUUGAUUAAAUGUUGUGGAUAAAAAUGAGGCCCUACUAUGAUACUGUAAAUAGAGUAGAACUAUAAAACAGUAGGAUUGAGACUGUAGUUAAGCCACGUCACUGCGAAAACAAUCCCUGAAUUACCAUAUUGCCAUAAGACAUUUCUUAAUAAAAACUGAAAUAAUUGACUAAUAUCAUAAAAAUUCGUAAACAGAUAAUUCGAUAUGAGUACAAGGGGAGCGCGUGGACGAGGCCGCGGACGUGGACGCGGUCGUGGAAGAGUGCAAGCUGAAUCUUCAUCCUCAAGGCAUAGGCCAGUUGAGGAGACAUUUGUGCCACAGACAACUGAGACUGGGUAGUAUGAUCGAGCUGCAGGGGACGAUGCUUUGUCUCAAGCAAUGCUAAGGGUCCUAGAAAGGGUUGCUGGAGCUAGCACCAGAACAAUAAGUAGAGGAUCCAUCUCUAAGCGACUCCGGGCUAACGAAGCAGAGGUUUUUAGAGGCGUAUCUGGAGUAGCUCCAAAUGUGGCUGAGUAUUGGUUAGAGGCAACAGAGCGGAUUAUGGACGACCUCGAUUGCUCUGUGGAGCAAAAGCUGAAAGGAGCCGUGUCAUUGCUAAGAGAUGAGGCAUAUCAGUGGUGGAUCACUGUAAGGGAGAGUACCUCGAUCGAACGUGUGACUUGGGAGCUGUUCAAGUCUGCUUUUAAGGGGAGGUAUGUUGGAGUGAGUUAUGUGGAUGCCCGCCGAAAGGAAUUUUUGAAUCUGGCUCAGGGUAAUAGGACUGUUGCGGAGUAUGAGGUAGAAUUCUUGAGGCUGAGUCGAUAUGCUAGCGGGAUAGUUGCGACUGAAUAUGAGCACAGCGCACGAUUCGAGGAUGGUCUCCGCGAUUAGCUUAGAAUGUUGAUAGCUCCACAGAGGGAGCGUGAUUUCGCUGUAUUAGUAGAGAAUGCUAAGAUAGCCGAGGAAGUAAAAUAGACUGAACUGCGGAAUUGUGAGAGGGAUCGACCCAGAUUCAAAAGGGAUUCCAGACCCUCAGGUACUGCGGAUAGAAAUGUUAAAAGAGCUAGACUAGAGGAGCCAGCUCCGGGAAAUACUUUUAAGCCGCAGGUUUGCAAGGACUGUGGCAGAGCACAUAUGGGGGAGUGUUGGAAACGUACUGGAGCAUGUUUUCAAUGUGGGUCUAAAGAGCAUAAGUUUAGAGAGUGUCCUCGGAGAGCAACUCAGGAUCAAACUGCAGAGCAAAGAGGUGUUCAACCGCAGCGAGGAGGACCACCGCCACAGAAGGGCUGUGGGUAAGGUAGAGGUGAAAAUGGUAAUGGACGAGGACGUGGGGCACUUGGCAGGGGUGCUGGACAAGCUGAGGCUCGACAGCCAACGUUGGUUUAUGCUGCACGACGUCGUGAGGAAGGUGACGCACCUGAUGUUAUAACCGAUACGUUCCUCAUUCAUAGCAAGCCUUACACUGCUUUGAUUGAUGUGGGUUCUACCCACUUGUAUGUUGCUUGUGAUGUAUCUGGGGCAUUGGGUGUGCUUCUUGAGGAAAUUGUGAGUGGGGUAUCAGUAAUAAGCCCUUUGGGACACUCGGUUAGGGUAAAUAAACUCUUUAAGGAAGUGCCUUUAGAGACAUAGGGUGAGAUAUUUGUAGGGGAUUUGAUAGAGCUACCAUUUCAGAAGUUUGAUCUUAUUUUGGGGAUGGACUGGCUGACCAAGCAUAAGGCAACGCUGGAUUGUGCUGUUAAGAGGAUGGUGCUAAGAACUGCUAAAGAUGAGGAGAUAAUGGUCAUUGGGGAGCGAAGGAAUUACUUGUCUAAUGUUGUUUCGACUUUAAGGGCAGAAAAGUUGAUUCGGAAAGGUUGUGAGACAUUUUUGGCACUUGUGAGUCAAGCUGAACCUGCAGAGAUGACCGUGGAGUCAGUUAGGACCAUCAAGGAGUUCCAAGAUGUAUUUCUGGAGGAACUUCCUAGACUACCUCCAAACAGAGAAGUCGAGUUUGGAAUCGACUUGUUACCUGGAACGGCUCUAGUGUCUAUUGCACCUUAUAGGAUGGCACCAAAAGAGUUGGUAGAACUGAAAGCUCAGAUUCAAGAACUGUUGGACAGAGGGUUUAUAAGACCCAGUAUCUCUCCAUGAGGUGCCCCAGUGUUGUUCGUAAAGAAGAAAGAUGGGACCAUGUGAAUUUGUAUUGAUUAUCGCCAGUUGAACAAACUGACGAUCAAGAACAAGUAUCCGUUGCCAAGAAUCGACGAUCUGUUCAAUCAACUGAAAGGAGCUUCAGUGUUCUCCAAGAUUGACCUUCGGUCAGGAUAUCAUCAGUUGAGAGUCAAAGAGGAGGAUAUCCAUAAGACGGCAUUCAGAACUCGAUAUGGUCAUUACGAGUUUUUGGUUAUGCCCUUUGGCUUGACUAACGCACCGGCAGCAUUCAUGGAUUUGAUGAAUCGGGUGUUUCAGCCAUACUUGGAUCAGUUUUUUGUUGCUUUUAUUGAUGAUAUCUUGGUGUACUCGGAAACGGAAAAGAAGUAUGAUGAGCAUCUGCGGAUUGUGCUACAAGUGCUAAGGGAAAGCAACUUUAUGCAAAGUUUAGUAAGUGCGAGUUUUGGCUGAAUGAAGUAACCUUCUUAGGGCAUGUUGUGUCUGCAGAAGGGAUUAAGGUAGACCCUAGGAAGAUUGAGGCGAUUUUGGAGUGGAAGCUACCGAGGUCGGUAACAGAAAUCUGAAGUUUUCUGGGAUUGGUAGGUUAUUAUAGAAGGUUUGUGGAAGGAUUUUUUGUGUUGGCAGCGCCAUUAACAAUACUUAUAAGGAAGGGGGCACCUUUCGUUUGGAUGAAUAAGCAGCAAGAGGCUUUUGAAAAGUUAAAGAAAGUUCUGACUGAGGCACCGGUAUUGAUUCAGCUAGAAUCUGGCAAAGAUUUCACUGUGUACAGUGAUGCAUCACAUGUAGGUUUGGGCUGUGUGUUGAUGCAAGAGGGAAAAGUAGUCGCUUAUGCUUCACGACAGCUUAAGCCUCAUAGCUGAAUUAUCCUACUCAUGAUUUGAAGUUGGCAGCGGUGAUUUUUGCACUUAAGAUAUGGAGGCACUACUUGUAUGGAGAGAGAUGCAUUAUUUACACGGAUCAUAAGAGUCUUAAGUACUUGCUGACUCAAAAAGAGCUGAAACUUAGACAACGAAGAUGGAUAGAGCUGUUAAAAGACUAUGAUUGUUCGAUUGAAUACCACCCAGGUAAGGCAAAUGUUGUGGCUGAUGCGUUGAGUCGUAGAAUUGUGGCGAAGUUGAAGGCAAUGUUUGAUCGCUUAAGCUUGUAUGAUGAUGGAAGCUUAUUAGCAGAGUUGCAAGUGAGACCGACUUGGGUAGAGCAGAUUAAGAGGAAACAGUUGAUGGAUGAGUCGUUGGUUUCUCGAUUUCAGCAAGUUGAGAAAGGCGAGAAUCUAGAUUUUGGACUAAAUGGUGAUGGGGUUCUUUGUUUUCAAGGAAGAAUUUGUAUACCGAAGGACUCUGAUUUGAGGUUGAUGAUUUUAAAGGAGGCGCAUAAUGGACCUUGUGCUAUGCAUCCAGGAGGAAGCAAGUUGCAUCGGACCUGCGAGAGCUAUAUUGGUGGCCUGGGCUUAAGCGAGAAGUGACUGAAUUUGUGAGAAAGUGUUUAACGUGUCAACAAGUAAAGGCUGAGCAUCAACUGCCUUCAGGAUUGUUACAGCCAGUAAAGAUACCACUUUGGAAGUGGGAAAGGGUAACCAUGGAUUUUGUAAGUGGUUUGCCAUUGACACCUUCCAAGAAGGACUCAGUUUGGGUAAUUGUGGAUAGGCUGACGAAGUCUGCUCAUUUCAUACAUAUUCAAACCGAUUACUCACUUCAAAAGUUGGCCAAGUUAUAUGUGGCAGAGAUAGUACGGUUGCAUAGGGUGCCAACGUCAAUAAUUUCUGACCGAGACCCAAGGUUUACAUCUCGAUUUUGGCAGAAGUUGUAUGAGGCGUUAGGAACGCGAUUAGAUUUCAGUACAACUUUUUACCCUUAAUCAGAUGGGCAGUCAGAGAGGGUUAUUCAGAUUGUGGAAGACAUGUUGAGGGGUUGUGUUAUUGAGUUUAGGGGCAGCUGGGAGGAUUAUUUUCCAUUGGUAGAGUUCACGUAUAACAACAGUUACCAAGCAAGUAUUCAGAUGGCUCCUUAUAAGGCACUUUAUGGGCGAAGGUGUCGUUCGCCUACUUGUUGGGCAGAAUUGGGGGAUAGGCAAGUACUUGGGCCAGAGUUGGUAGCAGAUACUGAAGACAAGAUUAAGGUGAUUAGGAAUCGGUUAAAGGAGGCAACGGAUCGACAAAAGUCUUACGCCGAUCUGAAACGUAAGGAUAUAGAAUAUGCUGUAGGGGACAUGGUCUUUUUGAAAGUUUCACCUUGGAAGAAGAUUUUGAGAUUUGGUAAGAAGGGUAAGUUGAGCCCACGGUUUAUUGGGCCUUACCGAAUUGUUAAGCGGAUUGGAUCGGUGGCUUAUUAGCUAGAGUUACCACCGGAACUGCAUCGUAUCCACGACGUUUUUCAUGUGUCCAUGCUAAGGCGAUAUCAUUCUGACCCAACUCAUAUCGUACCAGUUGCAGAAGUCGAAGUCCAGUCGGAUUUGACUUUCGAAGAGGAACCUGUGCAAAUACUUGAUCGUGACGUCAAGGUGUUGAGAAGGAAGUCAGUUCCAUUAGUGAAAUUACUUUGGAGGAAUCAUGGCAAGGAAGAAGCUACUUGGGAGACCGAGGAGGCGAUGCGUCAACAGUACCCUCAACUAUUUAGAUAAGGUAAAAUUUUGAGGCCGAAAUUUCUUUAAGGAGGGUAGAGUUGUAACAUCCUGAUUUUCGGGUUGAUUCGCAGUUCUCAAUAUUUUGGUAAAAUUUUUAAAAUUUGGUAUUUGGUUGUGAAAUUCAUAUUUGGAGUAGGUAAAUGGGCUUAUGGAAGGCCCAUGUGUUGGCCAAAACUUAGUAGAAUUUCUGAAUUUUUGACUUAAGAGUUAGGGGUUCUGGCUAGGUGACCUUAUGUAAAGAUGUGGGAGGAAUGUAUCACAAAAAGAGCUUUAGUAAAGUGGCAAGAGUGACGCCACUAAGCUCCUAAAGAGGUGGCGUGUGGAGCUUAAGGGAAGGCAUGGGAUCGAUUCCCUGUGUUGGCAAAUAGAUGCAUUUAUUUUUAUGUACAGGAAGGGUAAGUGUUGGAGUCCAAGUGGAUUCUGCUAAAGGAGUGUUUGAAUCAGUCAAAUGCUUGGAUUAGGGAGGGAUAAGGGGAGAGAUUUUAGGGAUUUGAUAUGGAGAUAGGAGUUGGCCGAAUAGGGGGAACUGGAGAGGGGAUUUUGGCAAGGGGUUAUUAGGUUAGUAUUUCGGCACUUAGGGAUUAGUUGUGCCGUUUUCUUCCCUUUUGGCUAGCUUUUUUUCUCUUUUCCCCUUUGCAGCCAAAUCCAUCGUCUCUCCUUGCAUUCUUCUUCCCUUUUUAAUUUCUAAAACCAUCCCACUAUUUUUCCCAUUCAACUAUCGUUUUUUCCCCUUACCUUUACUUUUGCCGAAAUACCGCAGAAAGCCAGAAUCUGUGAGGCUAGAUGGUGUCGACUUCUUGUUGACCAAGCAACCUUCUUUCCUUUCACUUGUUGGUGGUCAAAUCCUUCUUCGGUUAUGCUCUGGGUGGUACAAAGAAAGACUGUGGUAAGUAUUUGCACUAAAUCGAUUCAGUUGUAACUGUUGACAAAAGUCGAAAUCUCCUAUAGUGUAGGGAGGUGGCCGAAUGUGGGCAUAGGCCUUAUGGAUUUUUCUUUUAAUAAUUUUAUGGUUUAUAUAGUGGAGGAGCAGCAAGGCGUAGUGUCGACUUGGAUUAGCUUGGAUCAUCGGAGUGACUAGAUCUAGUCAUCAAUUUUUGGCAAAGGUAUGGAUUCUAAGGCCAUUGUGGAUGGUGGCCGAAUAUAUAAGUGUUGAAAAUAGAUGGUUCUCGUUUUGGGUUUAAUUAUUGUGGGCUGAUUUAUAAGUGGAUGAUUAUAGGAAAAAUCGUGUAGGAGAUCUCGUCGAGGAAUAUCGCCAAACAGGUGUGUAACGAACCUUCUUUUGUAGCUUAACUCAAUAAAUGCCGAAAAGCCGAAAUGCCGAAAUUCUGGCAUUUUGAGGACUUGUGAGCAAGCAAACGCUCAUCGAUUAAUUAUAUCCUCUAAGACGAUGAUCGUGAAUGUUGGAAAAGGUAAGAGCAUGACGUUUGGCAUUUACGGUAAGUUGGGCCUCGAGGGGUUAAAAUCGGGCCCACUGGGCUUUCGGGCCCAUUUGGGUAAAUUCAGUAGAAAAUAAAAACCUAUUAAAUUGCACGUUGAGACUGAUAAUACCACUAUGGAAUAUAAGAUAAAUGGGCUUAGAUGACUUAAUCGGCUAUGUAGGCCCCAUUAGGGUUUUUUGGCCCAAUAACUCGGUUUCACUAAAAUAGGCCAGAAUCGCGGUAUAAAACCUAUGAAUUGAUAGUAACUAUUAAUGAACAUGGAAAACCCUAAUACUUGGUAAAAUUGUGGAACUACCUUUACUUUAUGAAAAUGACUAUUUUGCCCCUAGGUAAAAAUGACCAUUAUACCCCUAGGGUUUAAUUAUGAAUUUGAUAUAUGAGAUUCUGAUAUACAUGAUUGAUAUGAUAUGCUGAUGAUAUGUAUGAUAUGCACAUGACAUGUAUGAUAUGCACAUGAUAUGUACGAUAUGCACAUGAUGUAUUCAUAAAUGCAUUGGGUUGGGUUUUUAUAUGAAUGGAGGAAGUGAAAAAGGGCUUUGCCCCAGUUUACCGAAAAGGGCUUUUGCCCCAGUUACUAAAACAGGCUAGGCCUCCAGUUAUAUGAUAAAGUAGCUAUGCUGCCAGUAGAGAGUUUGGUUGGGUGGGCUGAGUUAUUCCCCACAUAGAGAGCUUGGUUGGUACGGGUGGAGAGUAGCGGUUGGUUGGUUGAGUAGUCUCCCCAAUGGGCUUGCAUUCAUGCAUUAUUAUCACAUGUGAUGUUUAAAUGGGCCUAUGGGCCAUAUUGUUUACAGUUAAAAGGCUUCGGCCCAGUGAUAUGAGUAAUGAAAAGGCUUCGGCCCAGUGGUAUGAAUAAUGGAAAGGCUUCGGCCCAGUAUAUGAAUGAUUAAAGGCUUCGGCCCAGUAUAUGUGGUAACUGAAUUUGGGCUUAGGCCUAGUAGGCUGAUAUUGACUUGGGCUCUGAAGGGGGCUUGUUGCACACUGAGUUUUCCAAACUCACCCCCUUUUCUUUCUAAUCUUUGCAGGUGAGCCUUGAUAUGGGGACUUGGAGCCGGAGGGGAUUUGGGGUGGCCAUGAUGAUCACGUUUGGACUUACCAAUAAAUAAAUGGUUUUUCUUCCAGUUUAUCUUCACUUUUAAUACUAUUUAUAUUUGGGUUGUAAAAAGGCCAUUCUAACUAUUUAUUUGGGAUUAUCUUUAAAUAACUCUAUAUUUUCUGAUAAUAAUCAAAAUGGGCUAGUCUUAGGGCGUGUUUUCAAAAUGAUACCUGUUUUCAAAAUAUCACAACGACUCACAUUAUUGGAAUAACAAAGAUAACCACUUAAAGGAAAUUACAACUCGUUUACCAAAGUGUGGCAAUGGUUGUGGGCAUGUCUAGGAUUGGAUCCAAACAAGAGCCUGGUACUUAGGCAGCCUUCUUGGCUCACCUCCUUUGUUUCAGAUACCUACCUGGUGCCUAGCCUCCAUUCACUCUGGUUAGCCAAUCAAUAGUCGGUUUUUAGAUAAUAAAACGAAACAUAGAUUUUAAACUGCGUGUGACACAUCAGAUUCGACCAUAAUGUCCAGGCCGGGUUUGGGGUGUUACAAGGCCUCUUUAAGUUUUUACUUUAAUUUGGGGUUUUAUUUUGAUUUAUGUUUGCUAGCAGUAGGACACGGGUUUUCAAAAGAUAAAUUCUUUUCUAAACACCACCUCUAUACAACAUAUUUUAAAAGCUUCCGCAACAAACAAUGUUUCAGAGUGUAAAACAAAUUAAUAUGAGUAACUCUUUUGCUAAACAAUUUGAGUUUUAACAAUGAAGAAGGUUUCAUAAACUUUUUGCUAAGAUCACAACGAGGUUUAACGUAAAACGGGCUUUUUAACGAAAUUAUGUUUAUUUUGAAAAACACUUCAAUGUGACAUCGCCAGAUUCGACCAUAACGUCUAAGCUGGGUUUGGGGUGUUACAUGCAUUGACAAAAUUGUACCAACUAAUACUACUCUACCCAGUAAAUGAAACCUUGACUAUUGAAUAAUGAGUAUUUAGUGUUGGUUUUGCCAAUUAAGUUAUAGCUGCUUUUCAAUUCAAGAAUUAAGAGAGAUUAUAGAUAAAAAUAUAAAUUUUAUAUUGACGUUAAACAUUAAUAUAAACUUCGUUCAUUUUUCUCAAAUAAUUAUUGUUUUUGUAAAAUAUUAAUAUGAAUUUACAUGCUUUUUUUUUGAAAAGUAAAAUAUAUGUUUUAUUAAGCAGCUAAAAGAAAGUCCCAAUGCAAAGAAGAAUCACAACUCUACUACACCAAUUGUUUAAAGCAAAAUAAGUCAAUGAUAGAAGAUAAAAGAGGGUCAUGGUUGGAAUAGUGCCAGCGACUGAUAUUUUCAGUCACUCAACUCAUUAAUGCCUUUGUUAAUAAAGUUUGAGUUUGGUACCUUUAAUUGUUUGUUGACAUUAGACUUGUUGAUAAUUUGGAUUAAACUUUGAUUUUUUAAUAUCUAAAAGUUUUAUUCGGCUGGAUUCAAUAGCUGAUUUUAUUAUAUUUAUAUAUUAUGUUAUAAAUAAAUUUAUAAUUUUAUUUUUAUACUUCAAUUUUUUGGCAAAAUUUGAUACUUCAACUUUUACAAUAUUAUAUAUUAGCUCAAAUACUUUAUUUAAUUAUAAUUUAUAAUAUAUAUAAAAGUACAAACUUGAAAAUCCUUUUGAAUGGACAAAAAUAUCAUUUAUUUUUUACCAUAUUAUUAAAUUGAAAUUUAAAAAUAAUUAUAAUCAACUUAAAAAUUGAAAAAAAAAUAUAUCAUAGUAAUUAUAUUAAAAUAAUAAUCACAAUAAAUUUAAAUUCAUUAUUUGGAAAUAGAAAUAUAUUAUAAUAAAAAAAGUUGUGAUAUCGUGAGCUUAUUUGAAUUUUUAGUUUACGUCACAUCUCAAAAGUGGACAUGGAAGAAAUAGGAUUUAAUUUAGAUUGUUAUUUAUUUUCUUUACAAAGAAGGUAAAGGAAUUAUUAUGCCUUAAAAUUAUUUUAGAUAGAAAACUAAUAGGAAUAAAUUUGUUAGUUUAAUGGUAAAGUUUUACCUUACUCAUUGGUCUUAAGUUCAAACCCCUUGGUUAGUACCAACUAAAAUAUUUUUAAUUCCUUGUCCCCCCCCAAAGAGUGAAUUUUUUUUAAAGUCAAACUAGCCAAAAAAUUUCAAUUUAGUCCCUUUUUUUAAAAAAAAUAAGUCCUAGGCCUACAUGAAUUUGUAAAAUCUAAUUCAACUAGGAUAAACAAGUUCUAUAAAUAGCUAAUUUGAAAACAAACCCUAGAAAUUACCAAACAAAUUUUCAAGAAACAUCCUUCAUAAAAAUCUCCAAUCUCCUCUCCAAACAAAAGGUUUUUAAGUCUUCAAAAUAGGUGUGGGAUCUAAACCUAAAUAUUUGAAUAUAAUUGAAAAUAUUAGGAAGUAGAGAAAUAAGGUUAGGCGAAACCUAAGAAAAAUCCCCAAUAUGUGUGAGCCGUGCGUGAAUCCGUGUGUGCGAACCCCCAUGCAAAACCAUAUAGGAUUACCUCUAUGAACCCUAAACAUAUUCAUGAGAGCCUUGUAUAAAAACCAAGCGAGACCUAGAUUAUACCUGUGAACCCUAGGUUGUUAAGUGCAUACCCCAUAUUGCAAACACAUGUGUAUAAACAUAUAGAAAUAUUUAUGCGAACUCUAGGUUCAUACAUGCAAACCCUACUAUUUCAUGCGAUCCCCUAUACAUGUUACAUGUGAACCCCUUUGCAUGUUGAUACUUGCGAACGCCUUUCUGUUAGAAACUUGUCCAGUAUUACAUGCGACCCUAUAUAUGCCUAAUAUGUGAACUCAUAUGUUAGCAGUAUGCGAACUUAUAUAUGUCUAUAAAUGCAAACCAAAAGUGGACAUGGAAGAAAUAGGAUUUAAAUUAUAUUGUUAUUUAUUUUCUUUACAAAUAAGGUAAAGGAAUUAGUAUGCCUUAAAUUUUUUUUACGAUAGAAAAUUAAUAAGAAUAAAUUUUUUAGUUUAAUGGUAAAGCUUUAGCUUACUAAUUAGUCUUAAGUUCAAACCCCUUGGUUAGUACCAACUAAAUAUUUUGAUUUCCUUGUUCCCCCUAAUAGUGAAAUUUUUUAAAUCAACCCAGCCAAAAACAAAAAUUUCAAUUUAGUCCCUAUUUAAAAAAAAAGUCCUAGGCCUACAUGAAUUUGUAAAAUCUAAUUCAACUAGGAUAAACAAGUUCUAUAAAUAGCUAAUCUCAAAACAAACCCUAGAAAUUACCAAACAAAUUUUCAAGAAACAUCCUUCAUAAAGUUCUCCAAUCUCCUCUCCAACAAAAGGUUUUUAAGUCUUCAAAAUAGGUGUGGGAUCUAAACCUAAAUAUUUGAAUAUGAUUGAAAAUGUUAAGAAGAAGAGAAAUAAGGUUAGGAGAAACCCAAGAAGAAUCUCCAAUAUUUAUGAGUCGUGCAUGAAUCUGUGUGUACGAACCCCCAUGCAAAACCAUAUAGGAUUACCUCUACGAACCCUAAACAUAUUCAUGUGAGCCUUGUAUGGAAACCAAGCAAAACCUAGAUUAUACUUGUAAACCCUAGGUUGUUAUGUGCAUACCCCAUACUGCAAACACAUGUGCAUAAACAUAUAGGAAUAUUCAUGCGAACUCUAGGUUCAUACAUGCAAACCUUACAAUUUCAUGCGACCCCCUAUACAUGUUACAUGUGAACCCUUUUACAUGUUAAUACUUGCAAACACCUUUAUGUUAAAACAUGUGAAACUUGUCCAGUAUUACAUGCAACCCUAUAUAUUCCUAAUAUGUGAACUCAUAUGUUAGCAUUAUGCGAACUUAUACAUGUCUAUAAAUACGAACCAUGCUUAUAUGAGCCCUAGCAUGUGUGAACCCCUUAUAUGUGAAACCUCUUGGCAUACGAAUCCCUUAUAGAUGAGACCCCCUUUUCAAGCAAAACCCUGUAGGUUCAAGCCUAUAUGCCAUGCAAAACCUAGGAUUUUGUGAGCCUACGUACGAACCUUAAGUACAUGCGAGCCUAUGUACGAACCCUAGGAACUUGCGAGCCUACAUGCGAACCCUAGGUACAUGCGAGCCUAUGUGUGAACCCUAGAAAAAUGGGAGCCUAUAUGCCAUGCGAACCUUACAGCCUAUAUGUGAACCAUAGGAACAUGCGAACUCUAGGAUUGUAUGAUCCUAUAUGCGAACCAUAGUUACAUGCAAGCCCAUAUGAUCAUGCGAACUUUCAAUCGUGUCAAAUAACUAGAUUGUUAAUUUACAUAAAAUCCUGUGCAUCUGACACUGUAUUUUAUUUAUUUACUUGCACAAAUUAUAUGUAAUUGUGUGAUAAUGAGAUAAAUAUAUGCUUAAAUGCAUACCUUAUAAUGCAAGUAUGGAAUCUUAAAGGUAGCAUAAUAUAAUGAUAAAAGCAUAGAAAAUGCUAAGUUUAUGUGCAUAAUUACACAAAUUCGGGUAUGGAGGACGAUGAAGUUCCAUAGGAGACUGGCAAAUUAAGUCCAACCGAAAGUCAGUAUUGCAUGAAGUAGGCGAUAAUGCCAUCUAAAUCGACAGGAUGAGAUGGUAGAUUAAAAACACCAUCAAAAUCAAACCAAAUUGGGAUGAUAGUUUAAAAACCAUCAAAAUUGGGCAACCGAGAUUGUAAAUUAUUGUAGUAAAAUUCACUUUCACAGGCAAGAAGUGAGCGACCAUCGUCCAUACAAAUCAAAUUGGGAUGGGCAACUAUUGUAGUAGGUUUUAGGAGUGUCGAAAAGGAUGGAAAGCUAAAAACUUUAAAACAUAAAUUACAUCGUAUAAAAUUUUUAUUAAUAUAUUUAUUAUGUAUUUCAUGAUGAAUACUUUAAUUUCUACUGAAUUUUUAUAUACAUUAUUUUUGUCAAUUCUAUGUAAGGGUUUAGAAUUUAGUCUCACAUUGAGCUGUUGUAAGCUCAUUCCCCCUUUCUUUCCCUUUCAGGUAACACAGAAAACUAGGAUUUGGAAAGGCACAGAAGGAGCCUUAGAUUAGAAACUCGUUUUUUGUUAUUAUUAUUUUGAAGUUUUUAUUGAAGUUUUCUUUACUCGUUCUUAAGAUUGUAAUUCAUUCUAAAACAUGUCACUUAGAUAAUACUUUGUUAUUUGCAUGUUUGCUUUACCAUUUAGAAAUCCAUUACUUUAAGUGUUUCCGCUGCUUUAUAAAAUUCUUAAAAGUUUUGAUAAGUCUUUUCUUAAAAACCUUACCUCGUUUUCCAAAAUCUUUACAAUAAUAAUAUUGUAAUUGAAUUGUUAAGCAAAGUCGGUCUAAAUCAAAUGAAUAUUUUCCUAUAAACAAAAGAGCUAUUUUUCAUACAAAAUCAACACAACUGAAAAAGAGGCUUUAUAGGUUCACCUCAGUGAUGGAAUGUAAUGACUGGGUUGGGAGUGUUACAGUUUAAUUCCAAGAUUAAAUUGAACUUCAAUUUGAUAUUAGAGAUUAAUUUGAAUUUUCAUCUUUAAGUGAGGGACUAAUUAUGCAGUUAACCUUUUUAUUUUUAAAGUUUAGUAAAAUUAUUUUUGCAUGUGUGUUGGUAGUUUUGUUAUGCUUAUUGGUUUUUUUUUGAAUUGCAAUAACAAGGUAAAGUCCUAACAACAAAUGUGACUAACGCGACUUGAACUUAGAUGGCUUCUGCUAGUCUUAUCAUAAUUUACUCGAAUUGGCCUAUAUGGAAUGACCAUCCAUGAUUAUUAGAGACAAGUGUCUAAGAUCAUGACUAAUCGAGCUGACCGAUUAGAUAACAAAAGGCAACAUUAGGACCUCAUAAAAGACUUGCAUAUAGAAUACUCAAUUCUUAUGCAUGGAGUGUAAUAACCUAAAUUUGCCUGGGCCCAUAAAUUAAUAAAUAAAUAAAUAUAAAAUAAAAAAAUAGUCCAUUAAUAAGUCCAUUUACAAAGCUCAAAGUUCGGUUGCCUUUGUAGCCCAAAAGCAUUAACCCGGUUACACCCAACUGGUUUAAACCAGAAUACCUAAAACUACCCAUUAACCCGUUUACACCCAACCCACAAGUAGGUACGGCCCAAAUGGCCCAAUGUGUUAACAAAUGAGGGAAGACCUAGGGUUUUUGGAACCCUAGGCGCCGUAAACAGAAAGUUCCAGAAGCCAAGCCAAGCGUCACGCCCCUUCGGUUUCCGUCGUUCUAGCUACCCUCCAUCAGCGUCGCAAGCUAAGGCGUAAUCCAUGUCUGGUCCGUCAUCGUCACCAGCAUGAUCAUCGCCAGAUUUUCCUCGCUCACCUGCACACAAAUGAAAGAAACAGCAGCAAACAAACAAAAAUGGGAAGAAAUAAAAGAUUUUUUUCCCAAAAUAUGUUGUAAACAGUGGCUAUAAAAGCCUGAAUCAAAUACGAUGUAAAGGACCAGAUUUUUUGACAGAAAUAAAAGAUAUACACAUAUAUUCAUAGAAAAAAGAAGUUCGAGCAGUUUCUUAAAAAAAAGGUGAUUAAAGUUUUAUAUUAUGUUAUUUAUUUUUUUUAACAAUCAUACGAAUCGAUUUUUACAAAAAAAAACUGAUAAUAUUAAAAGAGAAGAAGGUUACCUGUGUUUUACUCAGAAGAACGAAGGCUUUUAGCCUUCUGAGCCACCGUAUAUGGCAGCGCGUGAGCAUGUGAGAGGUCGGGGACAGAAGCUCAACGGAGCUCCGAGAACCCCUUCCCCAUUCCUCUUUCAGAGGAUUCUUUUUUUUUUCUAACCGGGUUAAAAAUGAUUUUUAAGUUAAAAAAUUGGCUUAUAUAGCCUUAUUAGAACGACGUCGUUUAGCUUAAAGCAAUAAGCUCUAAAACAGCGUCGUUGCAAGGCUCAGGAUCCGCACGUUGACCGGAUUAUUUAUAUUGUUUAUAUUGUUUAGCUUAAAGAAUUGAUUAUUUAUAUUGUUUUAAGUAGUAUUUUCAUAGAAUAUUGUUACGUAAUAACUAGGUUCAUUGCUUUCUACGUUAUAUUUUAUAUGAAAUGUUAUUAUGUAUGUAUUCUGUAAUCUAUAUUGUUAUUCUCGUUAUUCUCUAUGAUUAUAAUUGCAUGAAAUGAUAAUGUAUACCAUAAUUUAUGUUGUCAUUCAUCAUUUACUUUAUUAUAUUUGUUUGAAAUAUUAAAGUAUGUAGUUUAUAUUGUUAGUAUUGAUGUCAUAAUAUGUCAAAUGCAUCAUUAUUUAAAAAAAAACCUUUAUAUUUUAUUCAAUCCAAAAGAUUUUUAAAAAUAAGGCAAUAUUUUUUAUAGUUAGGAAUCCGGGAAAUAGUAUCCUUACAUGCUGGGUUGCGAUUUCCCGUUUGUCUAAAUAUCUAAAAUAUCCUUCUAAACGAGUUUUACAAAUCAUAAGAAGAUUUCAGUUACGAAAGAUUAAAGAUAUUAUGUCCAAUCAUGCUGUAUGUGAUGUUUAUACUCUUUUAAAACGAAUGAAUCUUGAUUUUUUUUCAUUUAAAACAUAACGAUUUUAAGGGAAUCUCAUUUCUAAAAUCUUUCGAACUUUUGAUGCUAAGACAAAAAAUUCAAUUUGGUACCAAUUUUGGGCGUUACAAGGGUGCUAAUCCUUCCUUGUACGUAACCGACUCCCGAACCAAUUUUCUCAUAGUUUCGUAGACCAAAACGUUUUAUAAAGUGAUCCAAUCACACUUUAAAAGAUUGGUGGUGACUCCCGUUUUCGUUUUUUUUAAAACGUGCUUUUAAGGAGAUUUCGAUAUGGAGCAUGCAACCACUUUCAAUCUCAUGCUCUACGAACUUGUCCUCUCUCCUCCUAGAUCUCCUAUAUCCAACAGCUCCCUGCACCCUUUUAUGGGGACCUCCACCAACCAUUACCUCCAAAAUUUUACAUCAACUGUAUAAUUAUAUUUUAAAUGAAGUUAUACAAAUUGAUUUAUAGAUUUGAAAUUUUGAUAAUUAAAAGUCUAUCACAAAAUUAUCUAUGGGCUGGGUAGCUCAUCCUAUAGAUGUGAUCUAAUAUAAAAUUUUUAUUUUAAAAUAUUAAAAUUAAUUAUUGAAUCUACUUGGGUCAAGCAAAGUUAUGAAAAAAAAAGUUAAUUUGAAUUGUGAUUCAACCAUGAAUGGAUCUAACUACCGAUGAGGCCUAUAAACUUCAUAUUUUCGUUCAACAGAAACAAAAGCAAUCAAGCAGAAAUUAUCGCUGAUUUAGCGACUACUAGCAAGGCCUAUGGAUUAUAUUUUCGAUGGUAUAGUUGCAUGCCAUAUUAAUAACUGGGCGUUAACACUUCAGCUGCCCUCUACCAUUGACUCAAUUGUCUCAGUCUACCAUUGAUUCCAUUGUCUUAGUCAAUUAGUCUUAAAUUUUUGGAUACUUAGAAUCCCUAGAAAAUGACAACCACAUGACAGAGGUGAAACUCUGCAUGUCACUAAAAUGAAAAUUUGUUGUUUUGGUCUUUUAGAAAAUUUUAAAAUAGUAAAGGUAAAAUUGCACUUUGACCUCCUCUAAAAUUAUGAAAAUUUAAUUUAAUCCUUUAAAAAUUAUAAAUAUAUAGACUAUUAAAAAUUAAAAUUUUAUUUCAACCCCUAAAAUUUUUUUCUAACUUCAUCCCUACACAUGGAGCUGUUGUUUACAUCCAAUUGCCUCUUCAGGCAAGCAAGCUACAAGCUUUGCCCCCUGCUUAUACCAAAAACUAGGUUGUUUCUAG